AAAUAUUGGCCAUGGGAGGUGUGAGAACAAUCAGGGGUAUGCACAUAAACUAUGGUUUUCUUGUGCAGUGACUUGGGCAGAAGGUCCAAUUUCUUGCCUUCAACCCGAAUCCACCAUGACUAUGAACGUAUCACAUUCUUCAGGUAAGAACUCAUUUUCAAUGUGCGCUUGUCAACUCUUCACGCAUUCUCCUUCCCGAAGUACGAAGUUUCUUACGGUAAAAUGGUGAAGAACACGACUCUGAAUCCGUACUCCAACCAUCAAGAAAUGCGACAAACUCUCCAUAAUGCUCUACAAGCGAGCUCCGAUGCGAACGGAUUACAGCGCCGCUAACUCAACGUGAUUAAUGGCCUCCAAAUCCGAAAUUAGAUCCAACUGAUUCGAAGUUUUUUUAUUUCAUUUUCAUGCGUGCGUGGAAUUUAAAGAAGACGACACUUAUGUGAUGCCAGGAAACUUACCUAUUCGGCGUUUCAACGCGAAAGAUUCAGGUUCGACUCUUGUUUUUUGAUGCGCUUGUCGUCGCUUUCAUCCUUGCUUCAGUCAUCGUUGUCGAUGCGUUGCAUAUCACCACUGAAUUGAAGCGAGGCCGAUGAAUCGUUCUGAGCAAGUGUGAGGAGAAGCGAGGAUGAUGAUGGCCGGUUGGAUUUCGCGGCUAGGUUACCCCUUUCCUUGUCGCUGCCUCCAUCUUCUUCUUCCUUCUUCUAGCUAUUUUCGAAUUUUUCUUCUUCUGUUUUUCGUUUCCGCUUUCUGUUAUGCUCCUCUUCUGUUGAGGUUCUGUUAUGGUGAAUUUGUGGUUGUUAUGGUUUUUGAGAGGGAGGGUGAGGUUAUGGAGGAUGGAGAGUGAAGUUCGGUGAUGGUUGAGAAGAUGAGUUGAGGGAGGAAGAGGUGAAGUGAGGGUGAAGCCGUGAAUGGUUUGUGUUAUGGCGGCUUUUAUGGAGGUUGCUAGUUUUUUCAAGGUUGGUGAUUGAAGGUUGGUUCAGGAGGUUCAUUUUCUUGUGAGGAUGGAGUUUUUGGUUGUUGCAGGGCUUUGUGUUUGUUGAUUGAUGGUUGCCAGAGAAGGUUCCAAAUUUGGUUAGGGGGAUUUAUAGGAAGUUAUUCUGUUAGAAGUUGGAUUCCAUUCUGUUAUGAGUUGAAAAGGUUUGAGGGAAUUCCUCUUACAAUUAGGGAGUUGUGAAGUUUGUUAAUGGGAGUGGAGUUUGUUAGAAAUUGUUAUGAGUUCUUGGAAUGGUUUCUUUUAGUUGGUUUUCGAGGGAGUUCGGUUUUGCUGUGUUGGUGGGAGGGUUCGAAACCUUUUGUGAUAAAAGGUCCCGUCGAAAACCAUUAUGGAAGUUGGAGGUUAUAGUUAUAGUUAGAAGCUUAUAGAAAACAGUUAGGUGGUUGGCAAAACCGUUAGGAAGUUGGUUGGUUUAGAAUUCAGAAAUUCUGUUUAGUGAAGCAUUAUGAGAUGCUGAUAAUUUUGGUUAAAUGAAUUUAUGUGGAACUCAUUAUGCUUCAGUUAGAUGUAUAUGUUAGUUAAAUGGAUUGUUCUAUGCUUGAACUGAAUGAGUUCAAUGAAUUAGUAUAUGAUGCUUGAAUAUUGGCUUUUGUAACUGAGUUUAAAACCAGUUAGAAAUUAACUUCUAUUGUGAUGUUAGUGAAUCAUGAAUCUACUUGAAUUAGCACUAUUGGAAUGUGAAUGGAAUGCCAAUUGCAUGAAACUUGCUAAUGAAUGAAUUAUUAUAUUGUACUGAAAAUUAACAAUGAUUCGCUUCUAGGUGAUGUUAGUAGAUUAGGAAUUUGACAUGAAUGAUAUGCGAAUGUUUCGGUUAUGGACUGAGUUGAAAAGUUCUGAAUUUGCAGGCAUGCUUGUGGCGCUUUCUUGGCUUGGGGUUUUGGAAUGCAUUUGGACUUAUGGUUUUCAUUGACCAUUGGAAUCGAUUUAAGCUGCUAGGAUAUGGCUUGUAUGCUAACUAGGUGGAAUUGGAAAGCUUGGAAUGUAAAUGGCCCAUGGGGAAAAUGAACUCGGGUUUGUUUAUGUAAAUUUUUGUAAUUAUUGUAUCGGUUUGAGUUAAUGGUUGUAAUUGGAUUGGAGAUUGUAUGUGGUAAUUUUGGAUAUUUUAUAAUGAUUUAUGUUAUGAAUUUGAAAUUAUUGUAAUGUUUACUGUUGUAAUGAAAUGUGAUGGUAAUAGUAUGUUUGGUUUAACGUUGAAUUUUAAAAAAUCACGGUAGCUUUUCACGUUUACACAGAAGCUACCUUUUGGAGCUUCUAGAAAAUCACGGCAGAGUGGCAUUUGACCGUGAGUUUGAUUGGUGAAAAACUAAACCAAACAUGCUAGUAAUCUCGAAUUGUAUGUAAUGGUCAAUUGGAAUUUGGUUUAUGAAUGGUUUUUGUGUUGAAAAUUGAAUGUUGGAUUUGUAAUGGUAUGAAUGGUUUUGGAAUGAAAUUUUUUGUAAUUUUGAAUUACUGGGUUUGUGAAUGGAAAUUGCAAGUGAAUGAUGGUUGAACUUGUAAUGUUGAAAUUGGAAUUGGUUUGAAAUUGUAUUUUAAAUGAAGAUGAAUAUAGUUGGUUCAUAUGUUUGAAAAAUGGAAAUUAAAAUUUUGGUUGAAUGUUUCAUGUAUUUGGAAAGUGUAAUGGUUAUUUCUUUAAAAAUAUGAUGAUUAUAAAUGGACUUAGAAUAUGAAGAAGAUUAAAAUGGAUUUAAAAAUAUGAAGAUGAUUAAAAAUGGAUUUUGGUUAGAUGGUUGACUUUGGUCAAUUGGUUGACCAAAACGUCAACAGUUGUCCAAAAGUCAACUUAGGUCGAAAUGUUUAUUCUCUCAUGGGAAACGAAAAUGGACCAUGAUUACAAUGCAACACACAAAUGAAUUGGAACUGUUGUGAAUUGAUUAUCCAAAGAACCAAAUAAAAAACAAGGUAUUAACAAACUAUGAACAUGAAUGCACCAUGACUGAAUGUGGAUAUGACUGAAAAAUCCAAUGUUCUUGAUCCAAAUAAAACAUGCGAAGUUCCAAGACUUAAAGUCCAAUCAAUCAAAGUCAACCAAAUGAUACUUAAUCAAGCAACUGUAACACCUUGAAUGAAUUCUAACCAAUGAACCAAAAUCAUGGAUCGUGAACAAACAACUGAAUCAUUUAAUGAACUAUAUGAUAUAAUCAUGUCCAUCACAUGAGCCAUAGCCUAGAGACUUAACCUUCCAUGCCUUGUGUGAUAAGAUCCCUGAACCCAUGAUUUUACUUUUUUCAAAUGCAAGUGAAAUGUGUUAUGAUACAAUGGAUAUGUGGACGAGAUGAAUGCAAAUGCUUGGUGUUAGUGACAAGCUGCUGGGGAUGGGGAUGUGAAGAUAGGUCACGAAGGAAUUAUCCACUGAGGUAUAGGGAUGAACCAAGUAACUUUUGUGCAAGGCAGCUGCUGGGGAUGAGAAGUUAUUUGGUAAAUGGAUAGUUAUGAAAGGUUAGAGAUGUAUGAUGUAUGCAGUAUGCUAAUGCAAUGUAAUUGAUCUCUUUUUUUUCCAACAAGCUCUCUGUUUUUUAUGAACAAGCUUUUUAUUUUUCAAUUUGUUUUUCAAAACUCUCUGGCAAGUACUGAGAACAAUUUUCCAUUGGGAAAAAGGGGCAACAGACGACUCCUCCGGGGAAGACAAUUUGAAAGUAGGUAGUUGGUCGUCAAAUCCGAGGUUGGGGACAAAAACAUGACCAACACCGAUUACUAGGGAUUAGAACUUUUUGACCUUAAUACUACGAAUGGGGUAAAACUGGGCAUUCUCAACUCUGCGGUUGGAAACAAAUAAUGAUUAACGUCGGCUAUGCGGCUGGAAAAGGGAUAAGCGUCAACUCUGAGUUUGGGUACAAUGGGAUGAACAUCGACUUUAAGGUCGAGAAUAAAGGUAGGCAUCAACUCUGAGGUUGGAUAUGUGGACAUCAGCUCUGAAACCGGGUAACAAGGAAGGGUUCAACAACUCGAAAGUUGGGAAAAAGGUAGACAUUCAACUCUAAGGUUGGGGAUAAAAGGUUCAUCAACUCCACGGUUGGAAAAAGGUAUACGUUCAACUCUGAGGUUGAAAAAAGAUAGACCUUCAACUCUGAGGCUGGGGAUAGCGAAGGAUAAACAGCAACUUUGAGGUUGGAAAAAGGUAGAUACUCGGCUCCGAGGCUAGCAAAAGAGAUACAUCAACUCCGAAGUUAAAAAAAAGUAGUUACUCAACUCUGAGGCUGGGAGCAAAAAAUGGUAAACAUUAACUCCAAAGUUAGAAACAAGCUGGUACUCAACUCUAAGGUUGGAAGAUAAACGGUGAACCACAACUCUGAGGCUGAAAAAGGGGUAGCAACACUGAGGUUGGAGAAUGAGAAACAACACUGAGGUUGGAAAAGGGGAAACAACACUGAGGUUGGAAAAAGGGUAACAACACUGUGGUUGGAAAAGGGAAAACAACACUGAGGUUGAAAAAGGGGAGACAACACUGCGGUUGGAAAAGGGACGACAACACUGAGGUUGGGGAAAGGGAGACAACACUACAAUUGGAGAAAGGGCGACAACACUGAGGUUGGAAAAGGGCGACAACAUUGAGGUUGGAAAAGGGCGACAACACUGCGAUUGGAUGGAGACAACACUACAAUUGGAGAAAGGGCGACAACACUGAGGUUGGAAAAGGGCGACAACAUUGAGGUUGGAAAAGGGCGACAACACUGCGAUUGGAGAAAGGGCGACAACACUGAGGUUGGAAAAGGGCAACAACACUGAGGCUGCAAAAGGGGGCGACAACACUGAGGUUGGAAAAGGGGGCUGAAACACUGAGGUUGGAAAAGGGGAAACAACUCCGAGGAUGCAAAUAAGAAAGGUUAUCAUCAACUCUAGGGUUGGGAAUAAGAACAUACAACUCUGAGGUAGGAGAAAGACAAUAACUCUGAGGUUGGAAAUAAGGAAGGGACAACAACUUUGAGGUUGGAGUGGGAAUUGACAUCAACUCUGAGAUUGGGUAUGGAAUAGUCUCUCAACUCUGGGGUUAGCGGAAACAUCAUCAUGACAUAUGAAACUGAAAAAAGGUGAUCAUCUACAACUCUGUGGUUGGAGAAAGGGUAUAUCAAUAUCGACGGGUGUUGAAAAAAAGUGAUUGACACUGACGAGGGAAAGGGUAUCAAUACUGUCAGAUAUUGAAAAAAAAAGUGAUAGACACUGAUGAGCGAAGGGAUAUCAAUACCGAAGGGUACUGAAAAAAGGUGAUAGACAUUGCUGAUUGCUUAACUGGGUUUUUUAGAUAGGGAUAGGAAUCACCACCGACAUGAGUUGGGUUUAAAAAGGGGUUUUGCCAAUGAGGAUUGGACUUUGCAAGAGGUUUUCCAAACAAGGUCUGGGCUUUGGCAGACUACGUCAAUUGGGCACUUUGCUGUAGGCACGAAAACCUCAGGGGGUCCCACAGGCACAACAGCGAGGAUGAAGUUUUUGAAACAUGGCUACUCUUCCCGGGACUUACCAUACCUACAUUGGGUAUUUCGAAACAAAUCAAAAGGAAAAGUCUUUACGGAGACAACCCUUUUCGUGCGAAAGGCAAUGAGGGAGAGACGUGAUUUCGCGCACCAAGCAACGAAAUAAACUCACGAAAAAAGAGUUAUCUCAGUGGAAUCAUCUCCAUGGAGGAGGCAACAAGCUUACGACAGGUAGGCGAAAAAGGAAUGACUUUGAAAAAUCCUGUCGGGGUUGUCAACUUGGAGCUUUACAAGGGUCAAAAAAGGUCAUUUAUUUUCUAUUUUGUAAUGCCAACGGGGUGGAUUUUGGAAAGAUGCCAACGAAAAUGGGCUGUUGAAUAGUGCCAAGGGAGUUUUGGGCUUGCUUAUUUCUUGUUAGACAACUUCAUGCUAUGCUGGGUGAUAUGCAUGAAUGGAAUGAUAUGAAUUAUACAUGACGAGUUUAUGCAAUGAUAUGAGGGUUUACGGAUUGCCCAUUCUUGGGUACGGCGAAAGCUGAGAAAAUAUUAGCUUGGGUCGCAAGGCUUCUAGUUGAUAGGGUAUGGGCGGCAUCUCGCAUGACUUCCCGACUUUCGACUUCUUGAUAUUGCUGGAGGAAGAAUCUGACAUGGACCUUCUGAUGCCCCAGGCUGGGUCUGAAAAGCUUUCACAGGCCGGGAGAGAACCUUCCUCUCUUUGGACAGCCUUGCUCUAGUCUGUCGGGUAUCUGCACGGAUUUCCCCAGUCACUAGUUACGCAACAGUUUCAUCGUAGAUUAUCUUAAUCUGACAUGCCCCAGUGUUUUGGAAUUGCAUUCCUCUGAUUAACCAUCUCAGAGGGGUUGACUUCUUGUGCUCUUGGGGUGGCCUGCCCCAGUAUGAGCCUCGAAGUAACUUCGCCUCGGGCUGGCUGAUCUUCGAGGGAAUUCCCCUAACUAACCGGUUUCAGAGAGAUUUCUCGAAUCUCGAUGUGACUACUUCUGAUCGACUGAAUCUUGAAGAGUUUUCUCGACGUGACUGCUUCCGAUCGACUAGAUCUUGAAGUAGUCUUGUCUUUAGGAUUCUGCCUUGGUGUGAUCAAGAGAAGUGGCUUGCCCCUGCUCAACAGAGUUGUCAGGCGUUCUACACUUUUGAAUCAUCAAGCUCUUCAAUUCAUGUUCAUUGCAGAAGAUUUCUGGAUGUCAGAUGCUUACUCACGAGUAAGACAAAUUCAUUUUGGAAAUAAUAAUGCAAAUGUCAUGUCUACGCAAGUUUUGAAAUCCAUUUUUGUUCACUAGAAUUAUGAAAUAUAGUGAAUAGAUCACUGAUGAGAAUGUCAUGUCAAUACUAAUACAAAUGAUAAGCAAAUCGUUAAGGAGUCAGUUUUAACAUGAUUAUACUGACUAUAGUACACUUUCGAACUAAACCAUGCUUCAAUUAUGUCUUCUGAGGGUUGUAAUGUGGUCUGGUUCACGGUUUAAGAAAGAAAGGUUUUAAGGCUCAAACCUAUCCUAAUCCACCCACUCUUUGUGAUGUUCUCCAGUCCUACAUUCAGCUUAGUUCGAUAUAAGCGCUCGUCUUCCAAAAGGGAUUUGGGAGUGAAAAUGAACCCACGAGGUUCUCAGAGUGGAAGUCGUGCAUCUUCUAUUUGGCUUGUAGCCACAUGAUUUUGUUCUUGUUGAGGAUUUGGUUAUGAUUCCUCUUGGUUGAUUUGUUUUUUUUAUUUCCCUACUUUUGCUAGAUUGACUCUGAUCUGCGAUCCACAGGGAUGCCCUAAUUUUUACCUAAGUCAUUUGUUCUCAAGUUUCGACUUAUCAGGCUUUUUGUUCUUUUGAUUUUGAUUUUUUUUUACGAAACAAAUCGUGUGGCAUUUGUUCGAUUGAUUGGACGAGUUAUGAUUGUCUCGUGCCUCUGUGGGGCGAGGGACAACCAUUGUAGAUUUAUUAUUUCCGACCUCUUUUGAGGGAUAAAGUAUGGUUGAUCCUCAUAUAAGACACUCCUCUUUAGAAGUUUAAACGCCUGGUCAAACUAACUGACGACUACCCUACCCCGGGUUAAGACUGAGGGUUUUAUGUUCAGAAAGAAACUCCUACUCCUUGGCUCGAAGGGGUUAACUAGGGAUCAUCUUCCUUAUAGCUCUGAUGUUUAGGAUUUGAAACAAUGCCUUACAUCAUCAACAUGGUUCUAUUCAAAAGUGUACGUGUAGUGAUAUCGUGUUUUUCAAUUUCAUCAUUCUCCUUUUGACUUUGCUUAACAAAGGUUUGAUAUCGAUGGAAAAUAUGAGUGGACACUAAUGGAUUUAUUCAAAAUAAUGCAUAUUUAUUUCAAUGUCAUUAUUAUUCAAAAACAAACGAGUUUAUUACAAGUGAAUGUUACAAAUGACAAACAAGAAAAAUUACACCUGAAAAAUGAUUGAACAAACAAAUGAUUGCUGGAGUGAUCAGCCUUAUUCCUCCCACAGCUUAGGGUCUUGGUUCCGACAGAAGCUGACGGGAUUGUCCCACAGAUACAACUUCUUUAGAUCUACCACUGCUCUGACUACGGUGUUGCAGAUGUACUGGCCUGCGCGGGGUUGUUCAUGACAUUAGGAACAGCUGACGCGAACGAUAUAGCUUUUGAGUCAAUCAAGUCUUGUACUUUAUGCUUGAAGAUAUUACAAUUCUCGAUUGAGUGCCCUGGUAUCCUAGAGUGAUACUCGCAACUAACGUUCAUGUCAUACACGGGCGGGAGAGGUACUGGAGGAGCCUUAGCUUCUCUUAGUUGAACCAAUGAGUUCUUGAGUAGAUAAGCUAGCAGAUGAUCACACGACAUGGGAACUGGAUCAAACCUUCUGGGAGGCUUCCUUGGUCCCUGUCUACCCUGCUGAUAGUAGUUCUGCUCUUGUGAAGCAAUAGGUUGCUAAGGAGCAUAAGGUUGUUGAUAUUGCCUUGCUGGAGGACCAGUUGGGAUAACAUAUGUUGGCUGCUGAUACGGAUUAGGUUCUCUUUUGGCUAUUGUGGUAGCAUUGAUCUCGCCUUCCUUCUUUUUGGGGAAUCCUGAAUGGGAUUUCUUUGCUCCACUGGCCAUAGAUGAUGUAUCUUGUAUCUUGCCGAUCUUCAAGCCGUUCUCGAUUCACUCACCAGCAAUAACCAAAUAUGAGAAUCCCGAGGUAGUGCUUCCAAUCAUUCUUUCAAAAUACGGCCCUUGAAGGGUGUCCACGAACAUGUCUAUCAAUUCUCUUUCAAGAAGAGGGGGUUGAACCCUGGCAGCUAGACCUCUCCAACAUUUAGCGUAUUCUUUGAAUGAUUCAUCUGGCUUCUGAGCAAGGCUUUGGAGCUGAGUCCGAUUGGGAGCCAUGUCUGAAUUAUACUAAUAAUGCUUUAGGAAGGCUUCAGCAAGUUCCCCCCAGGUUCAUAUAUGCGUGCGCUCAAGCUGCAUAUACCAUUCCAGAGAAGCUCCACUAAGACUGUCAUGGAAAAAGUGCAUUAAGAGUUUCUCGUCAUUAGAAUAAGCAACCAUCUUUUUGCAAAAAGCUCGAAUGUGGGUCUUCGGGCAGGUGAUCCCUUGAUACUUUUCAAAGUUUGGAACCUUGAACUUAGGAGGAAUUUUCACGCCUGGCACUAGGCACAUGUCGGCGGCAUCUAACCCAAAAGUAUCGGGACUUUCUAUCGCCUUUAGUUUGUGUUCCAUCAUACAAAAUAUUUGUUCGAGGUCAGCUGGAGAAGGACCAAACGCAUCAUAUACUGAAUUAGCCCUUGUAGUGAACAAGGCAUCCCGAUGAUCGUCAAUCUCAGGUGGAACUCUCCCAUUGACAGGGAUGUUGAAUGUCUGAGCAGCAUUUUGAUACAUUAGGACUCUCUCGGGAGGUGGUUGAGUUACGACGGUGUACCAACUCCUUCUGGUGGAUUCACUAGUAUUGCCACAACAGGAGGGUUGGCAGCGGCAACUCUCAGAUUAGCCUGACGCAUAUCCUAUUGUCCUCUAGCCAACGUUUGUAUGGGUUCAAUAAGUUGACCCAUCUGGGCUUUCACAGUGGUCAUAUCUUCCCUCAUAACAUCAUGACUUUGCUCCCACUGAUCCAUGAGAAGCUUCUGACUACGGUGCGUGUUGUAUGAAUGUCGGGAAGUCAGCUUGACCGUAGCAGGUUCUGGACAAAGGCCAAACAACAGUGAGUCCUCUUGAGUAGGUCUGAUGAAAUGCAAUUAUGAAUGCAACAUGUUUUUAUGUUCCCAAAGGAAUGCAUGUGCUGAAUGAUGUGAUUAAAUGACAUGCAACAUCAGGGAUUCAAGGGUUCACAGCAUCUUGGAAAAUCUGGUUGUGAAGCUCAUGGUAGGUUCAAGGUUUAUUUCCCUGCAAGAAACAACCAUGUCUCCUCACAAGGUGAGUACUAAGACUUAUGAAGAUGCUUAAAUUCAAGGAUCAUGAGGCGAAAGUAUCGUUAUCGCCACAAGAUUACCUGUGAAUUAACAAUACCCUCGGGAUGAUCUCCUCUAAGUGAGGUUUCCAUCAACUUCGAAAGCCAGGGGUUGUCUAAGGUCCUUGGAAUCAUGGACUCUCUUUGGAAGAAUGGCUGUCAGCGUGAAUGUGACUCACGUGCCAGCAAAACUCCAAAAAUAAUCUAUUCAAAGUGGGAUGUUCGUGUCCCUCUCUCAAGAUAACUACGUCCGAUAGGUCAACACAAAGUCUCUCUCUCAAGACAACUACGUCCGAUAGGUCAACACAAAGUCCCUCAUAUCUUAUGUAUACUCUUUAAGCCAGUGUAUUGGGCUUCUCACUCUAUAGUAUCUAUCUCACAAGGUCAAAGCAAGAUAAUAUAUAACAGGAAUAUAUAACAGGAAUGGAUAAAUAAAGCAAGUAAUAACAAAGAUAAACAUCCAAGGAAAAUGAUACAUGCAAGCUAGGCUUGACUCGCUGAUGGGAACUCCAUAUUAUCCCCAACAGAGUCGCCAACUGAAGCGCCGUGAAAAAUACAGAGUCGCCACCGGAUUUUAUUUAUUCCAAGAUAUAAAACCCCAAAUGAGAGAAACGGUCUCGCAACCAAGAGCGGAUUCAGAAGUCGGUUAUGCAAGGGGAAGGUAUUAGCACCUCUCACAUCCAUGGUAUUCCAUUAGAACCACUUGUUCGUAUCAAAUGCAUAUGGAUGUUUAUUUAUCUGUAAGUUGCUUGCUAUAGGGAAUGGUAUGAGAGAAUAAGGAAGGGGAGAAAAUAAUUUUUAAAUUAGUGUGCUCGCCAAGGAUUUGGACAAAGGAUAGGUUUAAAUGAGAAGUCCUUUAAAGUCAACUUUGAGAUUUAGCAUUCUAAAGGCAUGAGGCCUAAUUGCUCUUCAAAAAGUUUAGCAUUCUAAAGACAUGAGGCCUAGUUGCUCUUGAACUCCUUUAAGCAUAGGUAAGUCCUAAUUCUAAGUCCUUUCUCCUUUUAGCAUUAGGUUCACACAAAACAAAGCAAUCACAAGACAACAAUAUAUUUAUACACAAUAAUGAGCUCAAAUGAGCAAAACGAAAAUGACAUAAACAUAAAAUAUGUGCUCAAAUGAGCAAAAUGAAAAACAAUAUGAAUAAAUGAGCAAGAAAUGAAGUGCAUUAAAGUAAAGGGCAAGAAAUUAAAUGCUCAAAUUAAAGUUAGUAAUUAGUGAAGUUAUGUUAGUUUGUCAUAAGACAAUGUAACGCUAUGUUAAACAAUCAUAAGUGGACUAAUAUAGUAGUCACACCUAUCUGAGGUCGGUCAAUAAAACUAUAGGCAAAUAAACACAAGUUAGAGAUCAUGACUAGUAAGCUAAGCUCCAAAAACUUUCCAUGCCAAAACAAAAAGGGGAGAGGCCUUGUAUGGACUUUAGGUUUUUUUGCUUGACCAAGAAGCAAUCUAUCUUGGACACAAAACAACUCACUUGAUCUUGGAUCAAGUUGAGUUUGGUUUGGAUCAAAGAAGAUUAAACCUCUCAUUUGUCAAGACCAACCAUAAGUCAUUAACUCAUUGGCAAAAAUAAAAAGAAAUGAAUGAAAAUGAAAUGAAUGGAAAUGGAGUUCAAGCAUCAAAUUCAAUUGAUCAAAUGUGAACCAAGUCAUCAUAAAUCAAUGCCAAAUAGAAGAGAAAUGAAGAUUACAAGUCAACAAGUCAACCAUAAUUUUUUGGUAUUUUUGGAAUUAAAAAAAUAAAUACAAAAUAAAAUAAACAAAAUAUGGUCAAACCUCAAAUUUAAUUCAAAAAUCAACUUCAACAAGUCCAAUUAAAUUCUCAUAGGUCUAACAUGGUCAAACAAACUUUGACAAUUUUUUUUAACAAUUUUUGAAAUCAGAAACUAUUUUAAAACAAUUAAAAACAAUAAAAAUAACACAAUAUGAAUUAAAAUCUCAAAUAAAUCUCAAAUCAAAUAAGAAAUUGAUGAGACUAUUUUUCAUUGAUAUAUCAUGGUCCAUAGGUGUUAGGAAAAUAUUUUUGGAUUUUUCAAAUAUCAGAAAGUAUUUAAAAAUGAAUUAAAACUAUAAAAACCAAAUAAUUCAAAAAAAAUAUUGAAUGAAGUCACAAAAAUAAUUAAAAAUCAAAAUAUGAAACUAGAUUUUUCAAGAAUUUUUUUGGCAUUGGUCUCAUAUUUUUGUGACUUCAAAUAAAAUAUUUAUGAAUUUUUGAAAAUAAAAGGAAUUAACUGAAAUUAAAAGAAAAUAAGAAAAAUAGAAAAAUCCAGCGCCAUCAGAUCAAUUCAUUAAUUGACGUGGCAAGGCAUCAAAGGCUCUAAGGCGCGGAUACAAGGUACACGUGAGUCAAGCUCACCACACAUUGCAUUAAAACAAGUCAACACAUGGAAUGACCAAGAUUAAAACGUUGAGGCACGAUCCAAAGGCUGGGAGAUGCACACGUGGUACAGGCGGUGGAAUACACCUUCUUCUCCGGUGAAGUACCAGAAUCCAGCCACCACGCGUAGAAAAAAAAGUUGUAAUGAAAAUGAAAAAUGAGGACAUCAAAAUGAAGAUGAGGUGAUGUACAUCAUCCCUGUAACCAUGGAUCAUCCUCACAGUUCCUAUUUAGAGAGAAACGUGAGCUUGAAGAUCAUGGUGCAUGAACUGAAAUGGCACGAUUUGCAAAAUUAAGACCACCACUGGCAUGCCUCAAGUGAGAGGACUUCAGAAAACAACACAAACCAAAGAAAAUCACAUUGUAUUGCAAGAUCUAGAUCAAAAAAGUUUAAGGUUCUACCUCUGAAAUGAAGCUUCAAACAACACGAAUCCUUCAAGCUCUUGAUCUACUUUGGCUCUAGAAGUGUGAUGGUGAUGAUAGGUUAAGGAAUUGAGCUUUGAAAAUCAACUAAUGAUGUUGAAAUUCAAGCUUGAAAAAGAGAAAGAAAAUUGAAAAUUCCUUUAGUGAGGGUUGGGAUUUCAAUUCAGCAGCAAUUCAGAUCUCCAAUUGGUUUCCAAUUGAAUGAGAAUGCACACUUAUUUAUAGCUGAAAUGGAUUGGCAAGCAUGGUUCCCUCGUGUGCAUGAAAUUUGAAUUCCUCUUGCAUGAGCCUGUACAUGCGCAUGUAAGGCCCAAUGAUGGGUGCAAAUCCUUGUUGAGACCAUUUGGAAAUGAAUUGGAUGUGUAAUUGGAGUCGCAUUAGCUUGCACAUGAAGUUUUAACAUGGAAAUGCAAAAAUGAACAUAGAUAGAAAGCUCUUCGAAACUCACACAUGGAAAGCCAAAAAAAUUAAUGUGAGUAAUGGCUGGAAAACUCUUGAAAUAAGGAACAAAAGUUAUGUUGGGAAAAAAUUCAUUUGGAGUUUGGAACUUAAUGAAAACUGGCUGUGAAAGUUUGGGUACAAAACAUGUCCAAGUCACCUUUGAAAAUUUUCACCAAAAUCAAGCCUCUUCAAGCUCUUAUGUUUCAGUGAUGCAAGCUUCAAAUGGAAAAACCCUCAACAUAAACGUUGUAGAUCCUUUCAAUAUGAUAAAUGUAGACUUAAAGUUUGAAUCAUUUGGAUUUUUCAUGAGAAAGUUAUGGGCACUUGAAGUUGGGAACUUUUCAAAUUCAAUGACUUAGGUCAAAAGUGACCUAUAAUGUUUUGUAUUAUCACAUGUAUUUAUUUUGGGAUUAUGAAAUUUUAUCCAACAUAACAUUUGAAUUAUACAUCUUAAGCUUUUAAAUGAAUUUGGUCUCACCUCAAAAUAAUAAAAAUUAAGGAAGUUAGGUCCUUGGGAAGUUGACCCAAAAUUAGGGUUUCAGUCAAAGUGACCUAUAAUGUUUUGAAAUGAAUGAUGACCUUACAAGUUUCAAAUGGAGUUUUUAUGAACAUGAAAGUUGUUCAUAUGGUUCUUAAGAACAUGUUUCAUCUAGGGGUCAUCUUCAUUUGACAAACACAUCAAAAGUUGUAUCUCAGUGAUCUUCAGUUUAGUCAGAUGACUUGACUGGUCAACUUUUCAAAGCCAAACUUCCAAUCUUGAUGAAUAAAUGAUUUAGGGACCUCAAAUAGGCUCAUGAAGGAGAAUUGCAAUCCAAAACGCAACGGAAUUUAAAUUUUUUUCUCCUUUAAUGAUCCUUACGAAUGGGCAUGAUCAGUGAUAGAAUCGUUACCUCUUGUGGCGAUCACGAACGUUGAACGAUGACAACGCCUUUACUCAGUCCACACGAACAGAUUCCUUCAAUCUCAGUGCUAGCUGCUACGAAUGAAGGCUUUGAGUGAGAGAGAGAGAAACAAAAUACAAGAGUGACAAUGCUUCCACCCAAGGGUUCUAUUUAUAGAACCACUUGUGUGGGUUGCAAGCUAAAAAGCCCACUUAAGUGUAUUUUGGCCCAUAUCUUAUAAUAUGCCCAAAAUCACUUAAGUGUGUGGUACCUUACAAUAUUUCGUAUUCCAUUUAAGUGCACCGUACCCUACGGUGUUCCUUAGUUACUCUAUCUCUCAUCAAUCCGUCCUUUGUGUGUGACCCCGUAGGUUUUCGCGACGUUGGCAAUUAUAUUAAAUCACGCAUUUAACAUAAUAAACAGUGAGCGGUAUCUAGCAACACAUCACUGCUACCCAAGUCACGAAAAUGUCAUGUGAUCUGAUAAAUCCUUCUGUGAUAAUAAUUAUGUGUAUAAUUACCCUUUUCCUUAUUCUAUAUUGAACAAGCAUAGACCGUGUCCUCCUUGUCCAGUUCAAUAUGGGCCCAUAGACAUUUAUCCUGUUACGCAGGAUGGGCAAAUUCCAUCUAGGUCACUCAUGUCCCUUAGCAUGCGUCGUGGAGUACCCAUCAACUGUCUUUAUGGUAUCCAGUUACGGACAAUGUUUGCAUCAGCAAUAAAGCACUCGACUCUACAUCUAGGGUCCAUAGUGGUUUCAGGUCGAAGGGUGUAUACACCAUUAUCACCAUCGAGAAUAACUUAUGACACUUUGCAUAACAUUCUAUAUAGUAUUCUCAUAGCGGGUCAAUCCCGUAUAAUUGUAUCUCCUUAUAUUCAAUCUCUCUCAACAAAACAGAUAACUCUUUAUCCAUGAUCCAUGAGAUGUGAUCAUCAGUCUACAAACAUAAUAGUCUUAAUGCUUUAAUGUUAUCCCACUUCACACUAAAGCUCGACUACGGAUACUUUANNNNNNNNNNNNNNNNNNNNNNNNNNNNNNNNNNNNNNNNNNNNNNNNNNNNNNNNNNNNNNNNNNNNNNNNNNNNNNNNNNNNNNNNNNNNNNNNNNNNNNNNNNNNNNNNNNNNNNNNNNNNNNNNNNNNNNNNNNNNNNNNNNNNNNNNNNNNNNNNNNNNNNNNNNNNNNNNNNNNNNNNNNNNNNNNNNNNNNNNNNNNNNNNNNNNNNNNNNNNNNNNNNNNNNNNNNNNNNNNNNNNNNNNNNNNNNNNNNNNNNNNNNNNNNNNNNNNNNNNNNNNNNNNNNNNNNNNNNNNNNNNNNNNNNNNNNNNNNNNNNNNNNNNNNNNNNNNNNNNNNNNNNNNNNNNNNNNNNNNNNNNNNNNNNNNNNNNNNNNNNNNNNNNNNNNNNNNNNNNNNNNNNNNNNNNNNNNNNNNNNNNNNNNNNNNNNNNNNNNNNNNNNNNNNNNNNNNNNNNNNNNNNNNNNNNNNNNNNNNNNNNNNNNNNNNNNNNNNNNNNNNNNNNNNNNNNNNNNNNNNNNNNNNNNNNNNNNNNNNNNNNNNNNNNNNNNNNNNNNNNNNNNNNNNNNNNNNNNNNNNNNNNNNNNNNNNNNNNNNNNNNNNNNNNNNNNNNNNNNNNNNNNNNNNNNNNNNNNNNNNNNNNNNNNNNNNNNNNNNNNNNNNNNNNNNNNNNNNNNNNNNNNNNNNNNNNNNNNNNNNNNNNNNNNNNNNNNNNNNNNNNNNNNNNNNNNNNNNNNNNNNNNNNNNNNNNNNNNNNNNNNNNNNNNNNNNNNNNNNNNNNNNNNNNNNNNNNNNNNNNNNNNNNNNNNNNNNNNNNNNNNNNNNNNNNNNNNNNNNNNNNNNNNNNNNNNNNNNNNNNNNNNNNNNNNNNNNNNNNNNNNNNNNNNNNNNNNNNNNNNNNNNNNNNNNGCCUUUUAUUAUUAAUAAAUAAUUCGAUACAAGUACCAAAAGUAUUGGCCUCUAGGGCUUACACCAACAAUCUCCCACUAGCACUAGAGCCAAUCAGGCAUACCCCUAAUGCCCAUAGAUCUAGUAUGGCCAUCAUGCUUCUGCCGCGCAAGAGGCUUUGUCAGUGGGUCAUCAAUAUUGUCAAGUGUAGGUACUCUAUAUAUUUUCACAUCUCCUCUAUCUAUUAUCUCUCGAAUGAGGUGAUAAUGCCUAAGUAUGUGUUUGGAUCGUUGGUGAGAUCUAGGCUCCUUAGCUUAUGCGAUAGCACCAUUGUUAUCACAAUAGAGACCAAUGGGAUCCACAAUGCUAGGAACUAUGUCAAGUUCACUAAUGAACUUUUUGACCCAAACAACUUCCUUUGCUGCACUUGAGGCAGAAAUAUACUCGGCCUCGGUUGUAGAAUCAGCAACUGUAUCUUACUUUGAACUUUUCCAGCUCACAGCGCCACCGUUUAAGCAAAACACAUAACCAGAUUGUGAUCUAAAGUCAUCCUUAUCUGUCUGGAAGCUGGCAUCGGUGUAUCCAAUUACAGCCAACUCUUCCUGACCUCCAUAUAUCAAGAAUGAGUCCUUAGUCCUUCUCAAAUACUUAAGGAUAUUCUUGACAGCUACCCAAUGAGCAUCACCAGGAUCAGAUUGGUACCUACUCGUUGCACUUAAAGCAUACGAGACAUCUGGUCGAGUACAUAACAUGGCAUACAUGAUAGAUCCUAUUGCAGAUGCAUAUGGAAUCUUAUUCAUGCGAUCCCUUUCUUCCUUAGUUGAAGGGGAUUGUGUUUUUGAUAGACACAGGCCAUGUUGCAUAGGUAUGAAUCCUUUCUUGGAAUCAUGCAUAUUAAAGCGUCUCAGCACUUUGUCUAUGUACGUACUCUGACUUAGGCCAAGCAGUUUUUGUGAUCUAUCUCUAUAGAUUCUGAUUCCUAAUAUAUAGGCUGCUUCACCUAGGUCCUUCAUAGAAAAGCAUUUCCCCAACCAAGACUUUACUUGUUGCAGGGUAGGGAUAUCGUUUCCAAUGAGUAAUAUGUCAUCUACAUAUAAUACCAGGAAAACGAUCAUGCUCCCACUAACCUUCUUGUAGACACAAGGCUCAUCUUCGUUCUUGAUGAAUCCAUAUUGUUUUACUGUUUCAUCAAAACGAAGAUUCCAGCUUCUGGAAGCUUGCUUCAAUCCAUAGAUUGAUCUUUGUAACUUACAUAUCUUUUGGGCUUCUUCUGGUAUGUCAAAUCCUUCAGGCUGUGUCAUGUACACAUCCUCAAGAAGAUUCCCAUUAAGGAAAGCAGUUUUGACAUCCAUCUGCCAUAUUUCAUAAUCAUGAUAUGCAGCGAUAGCAAGUAAAAUCCGAACAGAUUUAAGCAUUGCAACUGGUGAAAAGGUUUCAUCAUAGUCAACCCCAUGAAUUUGUUUAUAUCCUUUUGCAACCAGUCUUGCCUUAUAGGUAUGUACCUUACCAUCCAUGUCAGUCUUCUUUUUGAAGACCCACUUGCAUCCUAUAGGGUUAACUCCUACAGGAGGCUCUACCAAGGUCCAAACUUGGUUUGUGUACAUGGAAUCCAUUUCAGAUUUCAUGGCUUCUAGCCACUUCUCAGACUCGGGACCAGUUAUGGCCUCUUGGUAGGUCACAGGCUCAUCUUGAUCCAUGAGUAAUACAUCACCUUGAUCAGUUAUGAGAUAUCCAUAUCUCUCAGGUAGGUGACGUAUCCUGCUUGACCUACGCUGGUCUUGUUCUACUUGAGCAGGUUGCUCUUCCACAACUACUUGUGUUUCCUGCUCUAAUUCCUCCAUAGGUGUAUCGAUGCUUUGUGAUUCUUGAAUUUCUUCAAGCUCUACUUUCCUCCCACUGAUUCCUUUGGAAAUAAAAUCCUUUUCUAGGAAAACUCCAGUUCGAGCGACAAACACUUUGCCCUCAGAAGGAUUGUAGAAGUAAUACCCUCUUGUUUCUUUAGGAUACCCCACAAAUAAGCAUUUGUCAGAUUUGGGCUCAAGCUUAGUUGAAAUUUGUCAUUUCACAUAAACUUCGCAACCCCAAAUCUUCAUGUAAGACAUAUGUGGUUUCUUACCACUCCAUAUCUCAUAUGGUGUUUUCUCAACCUUUUUGGAUGGAACACGGUUAAAUGUGUAAGCUGCUGUCAAUAGUGCAUGUCCCCAAAAGGAGUUUGGAAGAUCGGCGUGACUCAUUAUGGAUCGGACCAUGUCUAACAGGGUUCAAUUUCUUCUCUCAGAUACACCAUUCCAUUAGGGUGUUCCAGGAGGAGUAAGUUGGGAUAGGAUCCCACACUCUUUCAGAUGGUCAUCAAACUCUAGGCUUAAAUAGUCACCACCUCGAUUUGAUCGAAGAGUUUUAAUAUUCUUACCUAGUUGGUUUUGUACUUCAUUCUUUAAUUCCUUGAACUUUUCAAAGGACUCUGAUUUGUGUUUCAUUAAGUACACAUAACCAUAUCUACUGAAAUCAUCAGUGAAUGUGAUGAAGUACUGAAAACCUCCUCUGGCUGGUAUGUUCAGUGGUCCACAUACAUCAGUAUGUAUGAGGGCCAAAAGAUCAUUAGCUCUUUCACCUUUUCCUGUGAAUGGAGACUUUGUCAUCUUUCCAAUUAAACAAGAUCUGCAUGUCUCAUAUGAUUCAUAAUCAAAAGAGUCCAACAGUCCAUCUUUAUGGAGUUUGGAAAUGCGUUUCUCAUUUAUGUGGCCUAAUCGACAAUGCCAAAGGUAAGUUGGAUUUAACUCAUUAGGUUUCAUCCUUUUAGUAUUAAUGUUAUAAAUAGGCAUUUCAAGAUCAAGGACAUAUAAUCCAUUGUUCAUUUGUGCAGUAGCAUAGAAUAUAUCAUUCAAAUAAAUUGAGCAAAAAUUGUUCUUUAUUAUAAAUGAAAAACCAAACUUGUCCAAACAAGAAACAGAAAUAAUAUUCCUGCUAAUUGAAGGUACAUAAUAACAGUUAUCUAACUGAAUCAUUAAACCACUAGGUAAAGUCAAUACAUAAGUUCCUACGGCUAAAGCAGCAACCUUUGCUCCAUUUCCAACUCGUAGGUCGACUUCACCUUUUGCCAAAUCUCUACUCCUUUUUAGUCCCUGCACAUUUGUACAAAUGUGAGAACCACAUCCAGUAUCUAAUACCCAUGAUGCAGAAGUAGAUAAAAUAAUUUCAAUAACAAAAAUACCUGAAGUUGAAGUCUCUACUGCAUUCUUAUUAUCUUCCAGGUACUUUGGGCAGUUUCUCUUCCAGUGUCCGGUCUUACCGCAAUGGAAGUAGGUGCCUUCUUUUGCUAUGCCUCCACUAGGCUUUAAAGCAGCAAUGGUGGGUGUGGGUUUGGCAACUUCCUUGCCUUUCCCUUUAUCACCCUGCUUAGUGGGCCUUUUGUUCUGUCUCUUUCCAUUUCCGAUCAUCAGAAUGGACUUCCCUUUUGACUUCAGAUUCUGCUCAGCAGUUCUUAGUAUGGCGAGCAGUUCAGGAAGAGAUUUGUCCAUAUCAUUCAUAUUGAAAUUUAGGACAAAUUGACUGAACCUAUCUGGCAACGAUUGCAAGAUCAAAUCAGUCGCAAGUUCCUUUCCGAGGGGAAAACCCAACCUCUCAAGGUUUUCCACAUACCCAAUCAUCUUGAGCACAUGGGGACNNNNNNNNNNNNNNNNNNNNNNNNNNNNNNNNNNNNNNNNNNNNNNNNNNNNNNNNNNNNNNNNNNNNNNNNNNNNNNNNNNNNNNNNNNNNNNNNNNNNNNNNNNNNNNNNNNNNNNNNNNNNNNNNNNNNNNNNNNNNNNNNNNNNNNNNNNNNNNNNNNNNNNNNNNNNNNNNNNNNNNNNNNNNNNNNNNNNNNNNNNNNNNNNNNNNNNNNNNNNNNNNNNNNNNNNNNNNNNNNNNNNNNNNNNNNNNNNNNNNNNNNNNNNNNNNNNAAUUACCCUUUUGCCCUUAUGUCUAUAUUGAACACAAGGCAUAGACCGUGUCAUCCUUGUCUAGUUCAAUAUUGGGCCCAUAGACAUUUAUCCUGUUACGCAGGAUGGGCAAAUUCCAUCUAGGUCACUCAUGUCCCUUAGCAUGCGUCGUGGAGUACCCAUCAACUGUCUUUAUGGUCAUCCAGUUACGGACAACGUUUGAUCAACAAUAAAGCACUCGACUCUACAUCUAGGGUCCAUAGUGGUUUCAGGUCGAAGGGUGGUAUACACCAUUAUCACAAUGAGAAUAACUUAUGACACUUUUCAUAACAUUCUAUAUAGUAUUCUCAUAGCGGGUCAAUCCUGUAUAAAUAUUACUCUUAAUAUUCAUACUUAUGUUUGAGACUUGAUAACUCCUUAUCCAUGAUCCAUGAGAUGUAAUCAUCAGGCUAUAAACAUAAUAGUCUUCAUGCUUUAAUGUUAUCCCACUUCACAAUAAAGCUCAACUACGGAUACUUUAAGAAUAGUGUUCUUAUGUUUAAUGUGCUCUCAUGAUUAAGUCACACUUGAUACAUUAAACGAACUAUCUAUUCCAGGGACUUUAUUAAACAAACAUAAUAAAGAAAAAGCCUUUUACUAUUAAACAAACAAUUCGAUACAAGUACCCAAAGUAUUGGCCUUUAGGGCUUACACCAACAGAUCAUAUAUGCAUAAAAUAGUGAAUAAAAGAACUUCCCUUGAUUAAAUUUGAUCAUAGGUUGAGGUUGCUUCAUGGGCAAGGCACAUUCAAAGCAUAGUGGAAUUAGGGUUUCCUUGGGAAGAAAUCCUCAAGCCCUUUGGGUUAUCUUGAUCAAAUUGGAAAAUUGAGAUACUUGGGAGACAUAUAUGACGAUUAGGAGCUUUGUGGACCAUUGUCAUGUUUAUUCUCAUCUUCAUUUAGCCACUUUAUUGAGCUUAGUCCUAGGAGCAUGGGAGCACAUGCUCACUUGAGCUUCAAAACAAAAAGAGUUAGUGACAUAUUUUUGUGCUUUUGGUUAGUAAUCAAAAUAAGAAAGGCAAUAAUAUACAAUACAAGCAUGAUUGGUGGUUUCAAACCACUCACACAAGUCCCAACCUUAGGGUUAAGGAGCCAAUCAUGCUAUGAUCCUUGAGGCAAUGCAAUGAGAAAUGAUAUGAUACCAUGAGGGAUCUUAAAGUCAAAAUUAGGGUCUUACAGAUUCCCCUAUUUAAGGUCAUUCUAGCCGGAGAUAUGAAGGUUAAAAUCUUCGUCUCGACGAGGUAGAAUGGGCUUAAAUAAUAACAAAGAGAUGAAUUUUGGUCCCUAAGAGACCUCAUGAUGCAAAUGUUGUCAUUCUAGCCGGAGAUAUGAAGGUUAAAAUCUUCGUCUCGACGAGGUAGAAUGGGCUUAAAUAAUAACAAAGAGAUGAAUUUUGGUCCCUAAGAGACCUCAUGAUGCAAAUGUAUGUAUGCAAAAUAAAAUCUUCAUGGUGGAUAAUUGCCACAAAGGAAAAGAAUUCAAGAGAAACUGAAAAUCCAUAGGAGUAACACACUCGCUAGGGAGACAUAGAUUCUAGGGAAAAGUGAAAAUGCAUGAGCAGGUCACGACUUGAAAACUUGCGAGGAGACACGAAGGGAUUCCACGAAAAUAAAUCGGUGGAAAGACUCGAGCUAACGCAAAGAUGCAUGUAUUGGGGAAUAUGCCAAUACCGUAAAACUAUCCACAAAGGAUACUUCGGAUAUUAGAAGGACUCAACUGAGAAAGAAGAUAAUGAGAUAUUAUCGGCUACUGGGUAAUAAACUCAAAGAGAGACAUGUCAUCAAAACACCGGUUACUGGGUGAAAGAACAACACGCUUAGGGAGAAAGAAUAUCUAAGACUGGUAUAAGGGUGAGAGAUAUCAAUCAUCCAAAUCAUCUGAGGAGGACCUAAAAGGCACAUCUCAACUCAGGAAAAUAUGACUCCACAGGGGAUAAAAAGUCAUAAUAGGGAGUAGAAGGAAGGGACACCAGGGAUACCGGUUACUGGGCAUAUAAUAGGUGACCAACCAGGCGUGAAUUGGGAACAUAUCCAAAACACUCAUCAUCCGAAAGAAGGGCUGAAAAAUCAAAGUCGACUUACAGGAUGGAUAUUCGACUCCAUAAGGAAAUAAGAAUCUUACUCGAUUGGGGAAGAAAAGACUUCGACCGAAGAGCGCAUGAGAUAUAUUAUCUAUUACCGUCAUAACAUAGAUAACAUACUCGCCUGGAAGAUCAUCCACAACCGGUUACUGGGCUAAUAAAGGAUAAAUCAACCGAAAAGAAAGGACAUCGGGAUACCGGUUACUGGGUAUAAAACGAUGACCAAUCAGAAGGAGAAACAAUCAUUACCAAACAAGGGUGAAUGAAAGAUGACUCGGCGGGGAUGAAUUGCUUGAUAAGAGCAAUUAUCCAAGAGAUAUAUCACCGGUUACUGGGUGGUAUACUCACAAACGAACAAUACCGGUUACUGGGUAAAGAUAACCAACAAAGAGGGGAUUACAUCUACCGGUUACUGGGUAGAAAACCACAGAAAUAGGACUUACAACUACCAGUUACUGGGUAGAAGGCCACAAGAUCCACUGGGGAAAAGGAUGAACAAUUACUGGUUACUGAGCAAUUGAAAAACUGAACCACAGGGAACUGCAAGGGAUAACAAGAAAGAAGUCAAUCUAGGAACAAACUAGAAAGACACAAUUAAACAGGACUCAACCCAAUGAGGAUAUAACUCAGGGGAGUAAUUCCAUCCCGAUAUACAACUAGGAAGGAAACUGAAACAAUAAUCAUCCACGAGGACUUAACUCAGUGGGGAAGGAAGAAGGAAACAUAGACACUUUCUGCUUACGAGGUUGACUCUAAAUGGAGAGAUCAGACACAAACAUCUGCUUGGGGAAGAACAUUUCGCCAAUAGCAGGAAAUAACAAGCAAAGAUAUAUGGCAAAGAAUGCAAUCAUGAAUAUCUGAAUGCUAUAAUUAGGAAUGUAUAUGCAUGAUUUGUGUAUGAUUAAUGCUGACAAACAGACAUAUCUAACACAAAUAAAUCCGAGAAUCACGAACGGACAUCCGGCAUAACAUCUCAAGAAGAAGGGCACAAACUACAAGAGAAUCAGUUCUGGUGGGGAUGAUCAAAUACUGGAAGACACUGAUCACCUAUGGGGAUAGGCAAGUCACAAUUUCCAACUGCCAGAGACUUCUCAUCCACUCUCGGGAACAUGUGGCUGAAAAUCGAUAAGAUCCGCCGUAGAAGAAACUCUACUGGGGGAACUUAUCAAGGAAAGAUAUACAAUUCCGUGGGGCUCAACGCCGAACAGAUACCCAUCAAUCAAAAUAUUCCCUUCUAACUGCUGGAGAGACAUCUCUGCUAAGGGGAGACAAAAUAAUUUGCUCCGCUAGGGAAGGAAGCGACACAUUUUCCCCAACAUCUCUCAAUUCUUAGAAUAAAUCUUCCACCACGGAAGGGAUACAAAUUAUCAAACUCGGGUCAAACAAACUGGUCGAGGAUAAACUGUAGGCAACCCUUAAGGGAAACAUGUUUGGGCUGAGGGAAUCAGAAAUGGAUCCUCCGUCAAUACGUGACAUAUUGGGGAUGGAAAGGGAAACAUACCCUCCACCAACUGCUCUAAACCACUUCCUGCUGAGGAAAACAACAUGAAAGCUGAUGAAGAUGAUAUAAACAUGCCAGAAUGUGAACAAAUGUCUUACCCUUUAGAAAUCGUACUAUCCUUGGGAAAUCACUGAGGACAUUCCAUUUAUCCUUUUAGUCAUUGUGAAUGUUCAUUUUGUUUAAAACAGUUUAUAAAAACUUUAUUUGUUUUAAAACAACGAUAUCUAUCAAUUAAAAACAUGCAAACAUUUGUUAAACAGAAACAAAUAAGAGUGCAAAGAAUUGGAUAAAGGCUCAAAUUUAUUUAAUAGAAUGGUAGUCCGCAAAUGGCGAGACUCCAUGGAGCUUUUACAAAUUUGAAAUUGGUGAUAUACAUGGAAAAAGGACUACAUUGAACAUAAUGACCGUUUCUCCACCAACUCUGAAUCCACUGUAUUUGAAGCUUCAGUUGAUGAUGGCUGAAAGAGAAUCUUUGACAAGCGACUGUUGUAGAACAAAGUCUUGUCAGGAUGCAAUUACUUGCCAAAUCCCUAAUUUUUGCCUAGAUUGCCCCAGGGUGAGGUACUCAAUCUAACGGGAUAUAUAUAUAUAUAUAUAUAUUCAUUUUUUCAUGUCUCUAACUUUUUCCUGGACCGCCCUUUCAGGUUUUCAAUCCACCGAGACGCUCAUUUUUGCCUAAGUCGCCCUUUCAGGUUUUCAACUUUGCGAGCUAUUCUGUUUUUAUUUUUAGGCGAAGUAUUUCUUGACUGCGUCUGAAUUCACAGGACGAGUGAAAUCCUCCCCAUCCAUAGUUGUAAGCAACAAAGCACCGCCUGAAAAGGCCCUCUUAACAACGUAUGUACCUUCAUAGUUUGGAGUCCACUUGCCCCUAGAAUCGGGCGCGAAAGACAAGACUUUCUUGAGCACGAGGUCCCCUUCUCGGAACACACGAGGCUUGACCUUUUUAUCAAAAUAUUUCUUCAUCCUCUGCUGAUAUAACUAACCAUGACACAUGGCAGUUAAUCUCUUUUCUUCAAUCAAAUUCAGUUGGUCAUAACGACUCUGAACCCAUUCAGCCUCGGUCAACUUAGCUUCCAUCAAGACUCUCAUUGAUGGGAUCUCAACCUCCACGGGGAGCACAACCUCCAUUCCAUAUACAAGGGAGAAAGGGGUUGCCCCUGUUGAAGUGUGGACAGAUGUACGAUAACCAUGCAAAGCAAAUGGGAGCAUCUCAUGCCAAUCUUUAUACGUAACAACCAUCUUCUGGAUAAUCUUCUUGAUGUUCUUUUUAGCAGCUUCAACAACCCGAUUCAUCUUGGAUCUAUAGGGAGAAGAAUUAUGAUGUGCAAUCUUGAACUCACUACACAACUCUUUCAUCAUCUUGUUGUUCAAGUUAGAUCCAUUAUCAGUAAUGAUCUUGUUUGGCACACCAUAUCGGCAUAUAAGCUGGUUCUUGAUAAACUUCACGACCACCUUCCUGGUCACAUUUGCAUACGAUGCCGCUUCAACCCACUUGGUGAAGUAAUCAAUAACUAUGAGAAUAAAACGAUGACCGUUUGACGCCUUUGGUUCUAUCAUGCCAAUCAUGUCAAUUCCCCACAUGGAGAAAGGCCAUGGUGAGGAAAUAACAUUCAGAAUUGUCGGGGGAAUAUGAAUCUUAUCCGCAUAAAUCUGACACUUGUGGCAUUUCUUCACAUAUUUGCAGCAGUCAGACUCCAUUGUCAGCCAAUAGUAGCCUGCUCUCAACAUCUUCUUUUCCAUGGCAUUCUUCACAUAUUUGCAGCAGUCAGACUCCAUUGUCAGCCAAUAGUAGCCUGCUCUCAACAUCUUCUUUUCCAUGGCAUGUCCAUUGGAAUGAGUACCAAAUGAACCCUCAUGGACUUCAGUCAUCAAUAGGUCUGCUUUGUGUCUAUCCACGCAUCUGAGCAGAACCAUGUCAAAAUUCCUCUUGUAAAGCAAAUCACCAUUAAGGUAAAACCUACCAGAUAAUCUCCUCAAAGUCUUCUUAUCUUUAACAGAUGCCCCAGGCGGGUAAGUCUGACUCUGAAGAAAACACUUGUUAUCAUAAUACAAUGGCUUAUCAUCUUUCACCUCUUCAACUGCAAACACAUGAGUUGGUCUAUCCAAGCGCAUUAUAGUAAUAUUGGGGACUUCAUUCCAAUACUUCGCCACAAUCAUUGAAGCAAGCGUAGCAAGAGCAUCUGCCAUCCGAUUCUCAUCUCGAGGAAUAUGAUGGAAGUCAACCUUAGUAAAGAAAUUUGAAAUCCUCCUCACAUAAUCUCUGUAUGGGAUGAGGCCAGGCUGAUUCGUCUCCCAUUCACCCUUAAUCUGAUUAACAACAAGGGCUGAAUCACCAUAAACAUCAAGGUGUUUGAUCUUAAGAUCAAUACAUACUUCCAAACCCAUAAUACAAGCCUCAUGCAUUUGAAAGUUAGCCUUGCUGUAAAAGGAAAAUGUGUUCCUUGAGGAGUAAUAAUCACUGCCCCAAUACUAUUUCCAUACUAAUUGACGGUACCAUCAAACACCAUACCCCACCGGGAACCAGGCUCUGGUCCUUCAUCGAGCGUGGGCUCAUCACAAUCUUUCAUCUUCAAAUACAGAAUCUCCUCAUCAGGGAAGUCGUAUUGCACAGACUGAUAAUCUUCAAUUGGUUGAUGCGCCAAAUGGUCAGCCAAGAUACUACCUUUAAUAGCUUUCAGAAUCUCCUCAUCAGGGAAGUCGUAUUGCACAGACUGAUAAUCUUCAAUUGGUUGAUGCGCCAAAUGGUCAGCCAAGAUACUACCUUUAAUAGCUUUUUGAGCUCGAUACUCAAUAUCAUACUCAAAUAACAACAUCUGCCAACGGGCAAUCCUCCAAGUUAAAAUAGGCUUCUCAAAGAUAUAUUUGAUUGGAUCCAUUUUGGAUAUCAACCAAGUUGUAUGAUUUAACAUAUACUGGCGUAAGCGCUUAGCAGCCCAAGCCAAAGCACAACAUCUCUUCUCAAGCAUUGAGUACCGAGACUCACAGUCAAUAAACUUCUUACUCAAGUAGUAUAUGGCAUACUCUUUCUUUCCUGAUUCAUCUUGCUGACCCAAUACACAUCCCGUGGAAUCAUCAAGCACAAUUAGGUACAUAAUCAAUGGUCUCCCUUCAACAGGUGGAGACAGAAUCGGAGGCUCCGACAAAUACUCUUUGAUACUGUCAAAAGCUUUCUGGAAAUCCUCAGUCCAAUCAUGAUGCUGAUCUUUCCGGAGGAGCUUGAAUAUAGGCGCACAUGUGGCAGUCAUGUGGGAUAUAAAUCUCGAAAUGUAAUUCAAGCGGCCAAGAAAACCUCGAACUUGCUUCUCAGUUUUGGGCGCAAGCAUCUCUUGUAUUGCUUUGACCUUGGCGGGAUCAACCUCAAUACCUCUCUCGCUGACAAUAAAUCCCAAUAACUUGCCGGAACAGACUCCAAAUGUACACUUGUUAGGAUUCAGACGAAGUUCAUACUUCCUCAAAUGCUGAAAAAGCUUCAACACGUGCUCUACAUGUUCAACUUCUGUUUUCGACUUUGCAAUCAUAUCAUCAACAUAUACCUCAAUCUCCUUGUGCAUCAUAUCAUGAAACAAGGUAGUCAUAGCUCGUUGAUACGUGGCUCCGACGUUCUUCAAACCGAAGGGCAUCACUCGAUAUUGCAAUCAUAUCAUCAACAUAUACCUCAAUCUCCUUGUGCAUCAUAUCAUGAAACAAGGUAGUCAUAGCUCGUUGAUACGUGGCUCCGACGUUCUUCAAACCGAAGGGCAUCACUCGAUAACAGAAUAUUCCCCAAGGUGUAAUGAAUGUCGUCUUCUCCAUAUCCUCGGGUGCCAUUUUAAUCUCAUUAUAUCCGGAAAAUCCAUCCAUAAAUGAAAAGACAUUGAAUUUAGCCGUAUUAUCUACCAACAUAUCAAUGUGUGGUAGAGGAAAAUCAUCUUUCGGACUAGCUUUAUUCAAGUCACGGUAAUCCACACACAUUCAGACUUUUCCAUCUUUCUUAGGCACAGGCACAAUAUUGGCCACCCAUUGAGGAUAUGUAGAAGUCACCAGAAACCCCACAUCAGUUUUCUUCUGAACUUCUUCUUUAAUCUUCACUGCCAUAUCAGGAUGAGUUCUUCUGAGCUUUUGCUUCACCAGCACACACUCAGGCUUCAACGGCAAGAAAUGUUGCACGAUAUCAGUAUCUAGACCAGGCAUGUCUUCAUACGACCAGGAAAAGACGUCGACAUAUUCUUAUAGAAACUCAAUCAACCCCUUCUUAACAGACUCUUCAAGGAGUGCCCCAAUCUUCACUUCACGAAUACAGUCUUCAGUCCCCAAGUUGACUGUCUCCAGAUUCUCAAGAUGCGGCUGAAUGAUCUUCUCCUCGUGCUCAAGUAGACGGGUAAUCUCAUCAAGAAUCUCUUCAACAUCAUCUUCUUCUGCCUCAAAUACAGGGAACUCAAAGUUGGGAGAUGGUGUUGGAUCAUUAUGUUCAAUGGGUUUGACUAACCUGCAUAAUGAUUUUGAGUAUAAAAGAGAUUUCAGAAUUCAAAUAAGACAAAUCAUUAUGAAGAUGGAAAAUUGAUUUUAUUCUCUUUUUAGGGUUUUAUGGUGAUCACCAAUUUCAUGCAAAAAAGCAGAAAGGGAAAAUAAUUUUGGAAAAUCAAACAUUUAACAUGUGAUUAUUGAGUGAAUAUCAUUGUAUUAAUCAAAUUGUGCCAACAAUGUCUUCACUUCUCCUUUUGGCAUGGGAGAAGGGUUUUUGAACAAAAUGAACACAUUACGUUGACUUAUGGAUAAUUGUUGGAACAUCAACAGCGACCCAAUUAUUGCAGAUUCCUCCGGGUAUGACAAAGUUGCCAAGGUCUUCCUCUUCAUCAUGUUCAACAAUGGCAGCAACUUCCUGAUCUUCAACGGUGUGGAUAAAACCCCCACUCUGGAACAACCCACGAUCAUUGGAAACACCAGAAGAAUACCCUAUGCCAGCUCGGGACUUGUUAUCUUCCAACUUUAUCAUUUUCCACAAACCAGUAGUUGCACCAUGCUCAAUGGCCAACUUUGCAUCAUUAUAGGAGACAAACGAAGAAAGUCCUUUCCUUGAAGGCUCAGCAAUAGAUAAGGCUUGGAACGGAGUUCCAACCUCAUCCUCAGAGUCAAUAUAGGAGAAAGAAGAUAAAUGACUGACCAAUAGAGCCUUCUCUCCCCGUAUCACCACCAACUUCUUGUUCUUCACGAACUUUAACUUUUGGUGUAGGAUGGAUGUCACAGCGCCUGCCUCGUGAAUCCAUGGUCCGCCAAGCAAACAACUAUAAGACGGAUGAAUGUCCAUGACCUGAAAAGUGAUCUGAAAAUCACUAGGUCCAAUCUUGAUCGGGAGUUCUAAUUCGCCGAUCACGGUUUUACACGAUCCAUCAAACGCCUUCACAACCAAUUGUCGCAUCCGCGAAAAUAACCGGCGGGCUAAAACAAAACAAACAGAGCCGCCACCGUGCGUUAUUUAUCCCAAAAAGGGAAAGGAAACGCUCGAAGUAAACCUGGAAAAGACAUGGUCUCGCGACCAAAGGAAUGGGAUGGGGAGUCGGUUUAUGCGAAGGGGAAGGUAUGAGCACCCCUACGCAUCCGUCGGUUAUCGACGGGUCCACGCUCAAAAGACAAGCAGAAGGUUGCUAAAAAACACUGCUCAAGAUGACACCCUGAACAACACAGGGUGGGAUAAGAGGGGAGAGGGUGGUAGGAUAUGCUCCUUGCGUACGUAUCUCAUCUGGAAUGGUUCAGAGCGCCGUGUCGGCUACGCCGCCAACAACACAACAGAGGAACCGCUGCAAUCGCGUGGCUUACGUCAGACUCCAUACAACGGAAACUGGCAGCCGACUGCCAACUCGCUGGAUUAAUCGACUCGACCAACAAACACAGGACACUGUGCCAUGCUGGACUUACGUCGACUCCUACACACCCAAAGGGUUUCCGGCGCUGAUCGUCAAAUGCAACACAGAAGGUUUGACAACAAGCUCAUGGAGUUAGUACUCGAGCAUGAGAGCUUGUCAAGCACACACAAAAGAAAGGGUGCGGAGAGAUCUCGCCGAUCUUGCUACGUUACUAUCUGGGUUGCGGUCGGAACGUGUUCUUACAGGGAGACUUGUCAUCAUACCAGAGCUCGGAAAUGACAAACUGAGGGCGCUGCUCGAGCUCAAUUUAUCAUGCACUCCUCAGGGUCCUAGGUUGAGGUUUCUAUAACUUGCACAGGGCAGCAGCUAUCCUAAACAGCACAUCAAGUCUCAGCAUAAAGCAAGCACACACUAUAUGACACAUUGGGGUAUACAAGGUUAGGCUGUUGAACCAAGCACUGGAUCGGGUUUUGUAGUUAGCUCUUAACCUAACAUUGGGAGUGGGUGAAGCAGUGAAAUGGAGAGUGAGGGCAGCCUCCAGCUUUUUCCCUGGCUGGGAGAGCUUCGACAAAUGAAGUGGGAGUUCAGAAAGUUGGAACUCUUCUCCACAUAUGACUGACACAACAAAGAUCUUGGGUUAAUAUCCACAAUGCAUCAACACAAGGUGUGAGCAAAGUGGAUGACACACUGAAUAGCAGGAGAUGGACUACAUAUCUCUUUUAUCUUCCAAUUGCCUUAUCAAAGGACUUUUCCUGCUUGGCACAACAAUAAACAUUCACAAGCAUUGCCUCUUAAGGAGGACUUCAGACAGGUGCCUGCCCAAGUAACAGGACAGGUCUUCCAGACUACGUGAAGUCAGAGAGUUAUACCUAUGUGGUUAAGCAACCAAGCAAAAGCAAGUUCAAAUUGAACUUAAGCAACUAAUGUACCUGUGGAAACAUCACACAAGUCAGUUAAACUGUACAGACAAUCAAACAACCAUGAAUAUCAAACAGUCAAACCCAAUGAGCAAAGGCAUAAGCCAACAAGUCAAACUCGAAUGAGUUAACAACCCUACAAAACACACAAUGUUAGUAGUCAAAAGUAAACAUCAAAUGCUCAAGUGAGGUAGCAUCAUGAACCAUAUAACCUGGAUGUUCAACCUGAAAUCAAAGCUCAAAGAUGAGACAAACCACUAGGUCAAGGCCUAGGGUCAAAGAUAGAGACAAAAUUCAAAACAGAACAUGAAAUUCAACAUGAAUCAACCUCAAUCAAUUAGUAACAUCAUCCAAAAUGUCCCAUAUCAAUAUCCAUCACCAAUUUCAUUUCAUGAACCAAAUAUGGCAAGGUAUGCAAGUUGAAAGCACAUUGUGACAACAGAAUGAACAAAUGCACAUUAAAUAAAAAAUGGUUCAAAUAAUUCCAAUAAAAUUCAUGGGUAAACAGGACAUACAACAUGAUCAUCACACAAAAAAUUAGAGCAUUUGGACAACAUUAGGCAUGGUAAUCAAAUUGCAUAAGCCAAGGCAAGCAUAAUCAAGCACAUGUGUGACACCAAAUGGAACACCAAAUUAGCACAAGCCUAAAAUAGAAUUGGUAUAUGGUAAAAACCUCAAACCAAAGCCAAAACAACCUUUAACAUGUCUAGAAACAAUGUGCAAAAUUUCACAUCCAUUGGAUAAACAACCAGCAUUUCACAAACAAAUGAAAAUCAAGACAUUUCAAAAGCUCAAAAAUGACCAUCCAGAAUGAAAAAUCUCAAUCAAAUCAGAAAUCAAUCCAAAAAUUCCACCAAAAAUCACGAGCAUUCAGAACAUUCAUAUCAAGCACCAUACAAAAAAUUAGAACAUUUGGAGAUCAUUUGAUAAGGCAAAUUCAUUCAUCAAGUUGGACAUCUUAAGGUGUGACACAAAUUGUCACACUUGACUUAGAAAAAUCAUAAAUCAGCAAUGGCAAUUGAUAAAAAUGCAAACUCAACACCAAAAUGUCCAGCAAGAUGUCUAGUUUCAACAUACAAAAAUUCAUGAGCAUUGGAUUAGAAUUGAGCAUUUCACAAAUGAAGAAGCAAGGCAAUGUCAAGAUAUGAUACAUGUACAAUAAUCCUAGGGCAAAAAAUAAACCAGCCAAGCACAAUUUCCAUUUUAAUCAUCAAAAGAAACUAGAGAGAAAAAGAAACUCAAUGCAAAAAUCCUCACAUUUUUUGGAUGAUUAUUUAAUUUGUUUUGAUUUUUUAAAGAUGAAAAAAAAAAUAAAAAAAGCAUGUGGAACAUAUAUGAACAUGGCAUGGAAUAAAGGAAAAAAGGAAAAUGAAGCUUUGGAAAGUUGUUGCCAGCAGAACUCGAACCCGGGCGAAAUUUGAAAAAACAAUUGGCGCGCUGCAUGGCAUCAACAUGCAGCCAAUGGGAACACAACCCUAGCGAACCUAAGAGAACGGUUUUGAAACCGUGGCCAAAAAACCUGGAUCAUCUUCCUCAACAGAACGCGCGGCAUGAACAGUAACAUCCAAACAUGAUCAAGAACAAUUUCUCCAGUUUUUAAAAUUGAAUACAUGAAUGUGUAGAUCUUUCAAAGUACAUCAUGAAUCAACGCAUGGCUAAGCAUAUAACACCAUAAAUCAUAUGGAUCGAGCAAAACAAAGUUUAUUCACCAAACUUCAAACAAUCGAAACUCACUCAAUAUGGCAUGGUUUUAUGUGGUUCAAAGCUCAGAUUAAUCACAACAACGAGAUCUACAAGAAUAUAUCAACAAUUUCAUGAAUUAAAGAGGUCGAAAAAGUGACCUCUUGAAGUGCAGCUUUGCAAUUUCGCGUUUUCCAGGCCGUGCAAUGCUUCAAUCUUCCUCUAGCAAGCUUGUACAAGUGUUUGGAUGAAGGCUUGAGGUCCAAUUGGUCUUGAUUCAAUAGAAUUUGGAUUUCACCAUUGAUGAGCUUCAAACUUGAGCUGCUCCAAAUUGCACGAAUUGCUGUGAUUCUAGCUUCAAUCUUACUCCAUGAUGAUUCCAGAUGAUGAAUUGAUCAAGAAAAAUGCAUGAGAUGUGAAGAAAUUUGGAGAAAAAAUGAGAGAGAAUUUUGAGAGACUUUGAGAAUUCUAGAUCUAGAAUUGGGAAUUGUGAUGAAUUCUGUUAUGAUUUGUGUUAUAUACUCCUUCUUAAUCAUGCUUAAUUAGGCUCUAAUCAAAUGCUAAUGAAAAUGGUUAAGUUUGGAGGUGUUUUGCAAAAAUGAUUUUUCACCCUUAUGCAUGGCAAUGGCAUGUGAACAGUACGAAUUUGGGAUUGAAAUGCACUCAAAAUAUCAUUUUAAAGCCAAUGGAAGUGGUACCAUGUUCAAAUAAUGCACACAUUUUAAAUUCCAUUUUUCCCUCCAAAAAUCAAUUGAAUUUUCAAAUAUUUAUGUGAAUGUAAUGCAUGUCAUGUAAUGCCAAAUUUGGAAACUAGAGGUUAAGACAAGAACAAUGCAAAAAGAGCCACUUGAUUUGGCCUUUUGGUUUGAAGGUUAUGCAUGUUUGAAGUUCCAUGUUCACUUGACCAAGUUUGAUCCAUAUCUCUUCAACCACACAUGAGAAAUUGAUGAUCUUGGACUUUUUGGAAAUGGGAUAGAAAGAUCCACAACUUUCAUGUUCAACAAAAUUUCAUUUGAAGCAUUUUUGAUGAUGUAAUCUUGAGUUGAAAAUCUUUCCAUUUUUGGCAAUUUCAAAUUACAAGUCACUUUCUAUUUUUGGAAAGUUUUGUUCUGACUUUAUUUUCUUCAAUGUUGAUGUUUGAAAUGUCAAAUGAGACUUGUUUGAACAUGAAUGAAGUAUUUCUAACCACUUCCCACCUCCAAAUCCAACAGUUGACCAUGCAGUUGACUUUUGCAGUUGAUAGAUGACUUGGUCAUACACAGAUGAACUUGAGCCUCAAUCUCUUGAUGAAAUGGAUCCAAAAUGAAACCCUAGAUUAUACAAGCUCCAUAAAACCAUAUGAUGAUAUCCAACUCAAUGAAGACCUUAUCUCCUUGAAAAACCCUGACUGGCACAAUUCAACUGAUUAUGGUUGACCAAAGGUCAAAACCCUAAUCCCAAGGAAUUGAUCAGGAACAAUGAAUCUUGAUGAUGAUAAGACCAUGAUAAUGGUGAUGUACUAUUGCAACCAAGAUAAUGAUCAACCUCCUUGAGGAACCAAGAAACCCUAAUUGAAGCACAAACCCUCAGAUGAUUAGUGAUCAAUUCAUGAGACCCUCAAGCUUGAAUCUUUUAACCUCUUUAUCUUCUGAGCAAGACUUAGGAGGAUGACUUGUUCAUUGUUUCCACAUGAUAUGCAAAGAUGUAAUGCCUAAUGUCCUAAAAAAAAUGAGAUGCAACAUGCUAAGCUAGUCCCAAGAGAGGAGGGAAAAUUUUGAGGUGUUACAGCUUCCCCUAUUCAAUCCACUGUGAACCUGUCGAUAUGAAUAGCCUCGGCUUUUAGACGAUCAGGGUGAAGAGUGAUUGAAUACCAAGAACAGACGAACAAUUUGCACUCUGAUGGGAAAUAAUUAACAAUGCCUGUCAGAAUCGGCAAAGAAGCAAUCUUGAAAAGAAGAAUCCGUCUGGCACGGAGAAAGUCGGCCUGAAUACCGAAACCAAAUGUUGACCUGGAUACCAAAAUAAAUGGUAACACAGGAAUAACCAUGGCCUGGACGCCACAUCCGCUGGGGAUUAUUAUUAUUAUUUUUUUUACUUUUCUUGAACCCCGAAACUUUCUGAUGAUUUCCUCUUUUUCGUUUUCUUGAACCCCGAACAAAUAUUUUCUUUUGCGCGAAUGAUCCCGGAUCACCGCAGUUGAACCCCNACGAUCUCUGUUGGCCUCAGCCAAAGUCUAAGGUGACACAUGAUCAGAAGAUAAUCCUGAGGACCUCAUCCCGGAUAUAAUCUUCAACUCCAAUCUCCAUUUGAACCCCGUUCUCCAGAAAAUGCCGCAACACUUCCUUUUCUCCAUUCUUCAAUUUUCGCGUUGAUCGCGUAACGUUCCUUGAUUCUAUUUCCAUCUCCGUCUGAUAGAAAAAUUUCCACCAAUAUCGCACUACUGGGGAACAUUGUUGCUCCAACGUUAUGAUGCUAAACUCCUCAGCGUAACAUCUUCACCGUCCGGCGAAACCAUCUCCCAAGCGGUAACCACGGCUCGAGUAACUGAUGCUUGCAACGCCGAUGCUGAUCUUCCAACUAGCGAAACCACCUCUCAAACGGUAACCACGGCUUGAGUAGCAUCUUCACCCAUUGGCGAAACCAAAUCUCAAACGGUAACCAUGGCUUGAGACUAGCUUAUGCUUGCAAUGAUGAUGCAUGGUUUUUUUUAGUGCAAUGCUCCAUAUUUAUGGAAAUGCUACGCAAUUCAUUAUGCAAUAUGCUAUGAUCUCUUAAAUGAUGCAUGCAUAAAAAGUAUCCCCCUCAAGGGACUCUUCUGGGGGAGCUCGAGGCACUCUGCUGAGGAACUCGACAACACUCCAAUCUCCACCCUGCUGGGGAAUAGCACUGCUGCUGGGAGAAAGGACCACCUUUACCAAGGAUGACCUCCACUGAAACCCGAUCCACUUGGGGACUUCGCUGGGGAAUAAACCACCAACGCACUCUGUGGGGAAACAACGGUCUCUGACUUGCUGGGGAUAUAACAAUCCCGACUCUGCUAGGGAAAUCACAGACCUUGAAUUUGCUGCGGAGAUAACAAUCCCAACUUUGCUUGGGGACUUCAAGGAAAUUCUGGCGCAGAACACCCGUCGACUCGUCGAACCCUGGUAUUCAACAUCCAAAUCCUGUGUCAGCUUUCCACUUUUGAGAGCUCCCAGACUCGUCUGGACUUUUCUAAUUCAUCACCUUGCAUUCCCAACUUCUCCGUACUCUACAGAGAUCGAACUCCUGGGAUUCAUACAGACUUUCCAAUCUCAGACUUUGAAGAGUCUUCUUGAUUAAUUCUCAAGGAUCGUCAUACGUCUUUCGUCGUCUUUUUACCAUUCCUCAAUUCAUUCGUCCCUGAUUGGACUCCGUGGGGAUUUUUCGUCAAGAGUUCCACAUCACCACCUGAAGUGGUGAAUAUAUCCAACAGUAUCUGCAAAAGAGAUCGUUAGAUAAAAACGUGCCCCAGGCGUGCCGAGAUUCAACACUUGAGACACUCAACCUUCCGAAUAAGAUUUCAAGUUUCAAUCUUAUAAGCAUGCAUUGGAAGGGACCUGUAUGUCUUAAAAUGCAAAGAUUCUUUAUCACAAGAAAUUGGAUGUUUUUGCAAUCAAAGCGGUAAUGAAAAUAAAAACAAAAUUAUUUGACUGAAUAUGCAUUUUAUUGAUUGAAAAAGUGUGGCUCAAACUGAGCAAUACAAAGGAAGCAAUUCCUGAAAAGAGGUAAUUGUGCACAAAAGGAAAAUCUAUCCUAAUGGCAAUGUGAAACCACGAUCUCAUCGAGUUCCAACUCGGUUACACCCCAUAUGUCCUCAGACUCUCCGUGCUUUCUGCCUUCUGAACAAGACGCUUCCGACCGAUCCCUACCGGGGAUUAUCCUGAUGCCUUAACCAAAGCCUAAACGAUCAUGCUGGACGCAGUUGUUCGUUUCAAAUAUUUAUGUGAAUGUAAUGCAUGUCAUGUAAUGCCAAAUUUGGAAACUAGAAGUUAAGACAAGAACAAUGCAAAAAGAGCCACUUGAUUUGGCCUUUUGGUUUGAAAGUUAUGCAUGUUUGAAGUUCCAUGUUCACUUGACCAAGUUUGAUCCAUAUCUCUUCAACCACACAUGAGAAAUUGAUGAUCUUGGACUUUUUGGAAAUGGGAGAGAAAGAUCUACAACUUUCAUGUUCAACAAACUUUAUUUUGAAGAUUUUUGAUGAUGUAAUCUUGAGUUGAAAACCUUUCCAUUUUUGGCAAUUUCAAAUUACAAGUCACUUUCUAUUUUUGGAAAGUUUUGUCCUGACUUUAUUUUCUUCAAUGUUGAUGUUUGAAAUGUUAAAUGAGACUUGUUUGAACAUGAAUGAAGUAUUUAUAACCACUUCCCACCUCCAAAUCCAACAUUUGACCAUGCAGUUGACUUUUGUAGUUGAUAGAUGACUUGGUCAUACACAGAUGAACUUGAGCCUCAAUCUCUUGAUGAAAUGGCUCCAAAAUGAAACCCUAGCUUAUACAAGCUCCAUAAAACCAUAUGAUGAUCUCCAACUCAAUGAAGACCUCAUCUCCUUGAAAAACCCUGACUGGCACAAUUCAACUGAUUAUGGUUGACCAGAGGUCAAAACCCUAAUCCCAAGGAACUGAUCAGGAACAAUGAAUCUUGAUGAUGAUAAGACCAUGAUAAUGGUGAUGUACUAUUUCAACCAAGAUAAUGAUCAACCUCCUUGAGGAACCAAGAAACCCUAAUUGAAGCACCAACCCUCAGAUGAUUAGUGAUCAAUUCAUGAGAUCCUCAAGCUUGAAUCUUUUAACCUCUUUAUCUUCUGAGCAAGACUUAGGAGGAUGACUUGUUCAUUGUUUACACAUGAUAUGCAAAGAUGUAAUGCCUAAUGUCCUAAAAAAAAUGAGAUGCAACAUGCUAAGCUAGUCCCAAGAGAGGAGGGCAAAUUUUGAGGUGUUACACCAAUCCACUCAGCCUCAUGGGAGACCCCUGAUAAGAAAGUUUAGCAAGAGUGGAUUUUGGCAACACAUUAAGGGAUGACCCUAUGUCCACCAACACAUUGGACAGGGCAUCAUCUUUACAAUUCAUAGAUAUGUGUAAAGCCAAAUUGUGGUCUUUUCCCUCCUCGGGAAGAUCAACAUCACAGAAGCUCAAGUUGUUGCAAGCGGUUAUAUUUGCAACAAUGCUAUCAAACUGCUCUAUUGUGACAUCGUGGUCCACGUAUGCCACGCCAACACCCUUUGCAAAGCUUCGCGGUGUGGCUCGGAAUUCAUCAACAAAGAUAGGACAUAUAUCUUUGAUGGAGUUUGUAGCAGCUGAUCAACACCAUUAUAUUCACUCCUUUUGAUGAGCCUUAGCAUCUCAUCACCAUCCUAUUUCAAAAUGUCGGACUGGCCAACCAGGAUAGGAGUGUUAUUAUUCUUGACAGCAACAGGGUCAACAAUAGGAACAAAAUUAUUUUGAAAAGAAGUCCCCAUGGGACCGGCAGGAUUAACAACAGUUCUCUUCAUGACAUCUUCAUGGGAUUUCGGCUGCGCCGAGAAAACACGCUACGAGUCACACCACUAACAUCUGAAAUUCUCACUACGGAAGUUGAGGGCAACGUCACCUCCUUUCCAUCUUCCAGCAUGAUUGCGUUGUAUCGGUAGGGAACAACUUUGUCUGAUACAUACGGGACAGGGCCUGCUGGCUUGAUCACAAGAGCUAGAGAUACCUUUUUCUUGCUGCCAUCAUAUUUGACAACGACAGGCUCAAGAAUUUUAAACAUGGGAGUGAUAACAUCGACUUCAUCCUCAUUACGAUUCUGAAGUAUCUCAAUCAUCCCUUGAUCAACCAUCUCUUGGAUGUCCUUUCUUACUUGUCGACAUCCUCUCUCAUUGACAGUGCACACCUGGCACCUAUCAUGGUCAUGCUCAUAGUGGCUGUGUUCACACAACAGCUUAUGCAUCUCGACCAAAGAUUGCCUUAUGUCAUUCACAUACAGGACUUUAUACUUGCCAGGGCAUCCCUGAACCAUAUUAACAGUUGCUUUCCCAUGUUCGGGCAAUGGGUUCUUCUUCACAUUUGGACCUACAUCCUCAAAGAACAAAAUCCCACUUCUCACAAGGUCUUGCACCUUGGUCUUCAAUGGGUAACAGUUCUCCACGUCAUGUCCGGGAGCACCAGAAUGAUAUACACAAUGAAGCUCUGGCUUGUACCACCACUAGGGAUUGGUUGGUACAGCGGGAGGGUCUCGUGGAGUUAUCAGCUUCCUAUCUAUCAAGGAAGGAUAAAGCUCAGCAUAUGUCAUCGGAAUCGGGUCAAAAGUUACCCUCUUCCUCUCGUAGUUGCUGGUGCUAGUGUUGUUAUUGUUGCGAGGCUGGUAGGCCUGUUGUUGACGAUGUUGUUGUUGUUGUUGAUGAACUUCUCUAAAAGCAGGUGCUAUAUGAGCCACCUGGUGUUGGUUGACGGCUGGACGCACAUCCUUCCUCCUUACAGAGGGCCUUAUUUUAAUAUGGGAGGACACAACAUGAGUCUCUCCCUCCUUCUUCCUCGCAAAGCCUCCAUACUUCUUUUUUGAGGAACCAUCAUCGCUAGAUAACCGUCCUUCACGGACCCCUUCUUCCAAUCUCAUCCCCAUAUUCACCAUUUCGGUGAAGUCUGAGGGAGCACUGGAAAUCAUUCUUUCAUAAUAGAAAGAGCUCAAAGUCUUCAAGAAGAUCUUUGUCAUCUCCUUCUCUUCUAGGGGUGACACUAUCUGAGAUGCCAAUUCUCGCCAUCUCUGGGCGUACUCCUUGAAGGUCUCUUUCUCUUUCUGGGACAUCGCCCUCAACUGGUCCCUGUCUAGAGCCAUAUCCACAUUAUAUUUAUACUGCUUGACGAAGGCCUCGCCUAAAUCAUUGAAAAUGCGGAUGCUUGCACUCUCCAGCCUCAUAUGCCAACGGAGUGCAACACCUGUCAGGCUAUCCUGAAAGUAGUGGAUCAGCAGUUGGUCGUUGUCAGUCUGUGUUAACAUCUUGCGGGCAUACAUCACAAGAUGGCUGAGCGGGCAUGUAUUUCCCUUAUACUUCUCAAAGUCAGGCACUUUGAAUUUAAUAGGGAUCUUCACGUUGGGCACCAUGCACAACUCAGCAACACUUUUCCCAAAGAGGUCCUUACCCCUCAAAGUCUUCAGUUCCUUGCGUAGCUCAAGGAAUUGAUCUUUCAUUUCAUCCAUCUUCUCAUAUACAUCCGGACCCUCAGAUGGCUCAGAAUGAUAGAUGGUAUCUUUAACGCGGGGAAGGGUGUGCACAAUGGGAGGUGGCACAGACAGGACCGAGCUAGAUGCCGGCAAAGAAGCGAGAGUAGAAGCAAAACCUUCUGGCAUGAAAUUAGCAGGUAUUCCCCAAGGGAACCCAACUGGUAUAGACGAAGCGAAGUGGGCUGUUACAGCAGGCACAAUUGAAGUCGCUAUCUCAGAUAUAACAGUCCUUCCGGGAGGAGUUGCAGGAGUUGGUGAAGCUUGGCUCUGUGCGGCCAGAACUGACUCCAUCAUGGAAGUCAGCCUAGAAAUCUCUUCUUUCAAGUCCCUGUUCUCUUGCUCUAGAUGCUCCAUUAUCUUCGGAUGAUUGGCUCUAGUAUUAUACCGGUGCGUCAACUUGUCUUCAAAAUAAAUGAAGAGCAAAGAGUUAGACCACUGAUCACGAGCUUGGAACAAAACCUGCUUAUGCAUAUGAUGCAUGCAAUGCUCGUGCAUAUGAUUUGUUUUUAAUCAGAGGAAUUUUUUAGAGAUCUAUUUGCAAAUAUUUGAAAAUAUCAAAUCUUUUAGACAUAUAGGGAAUACUCAUAGCAAUAAUAUUUGGGAACUUUUUUACACCAAUGAAGUAGUACAGUUUUGGUAACCCAAAUACAAUACAAGAGAAAAGAAGAAUGACCAUCCUAUGGAGCCCUAGAAACAAUCGUCCAAAGCCUUAAAGAUCGGAAGAUAGGUUGCACGAAGCCUCUUAACCUCCCUCUCAUAAGCUGCUUCCAUGUCGGCUUUCUCCUUAGCAAGCUGAUCAUACUUCCUCUUCCAGAACCUAGAUGAAUGAGGAAGAAGAGAAGUAACCACAUCAUCAGGCUUAUCAAUAACCUGAUGCUCUAGAAAUUCUAUCACUACAUCCUUAUCUUUGAGUUGCUGAAGAAGUUCCUAACGCUCACGAACCCAUGCACGCAACCGGUCUUCAUCUCUCAACUCCUCUACUCCUUUAUUAGGGAGGGUUGAAGGCCCAACCAUAACCAUAGGGGUAGUUCUCGGAUACUCGUACGACAUGCGGUACUCAAGAGCUCUCUUCCUCACCCAAGAGGUGUAGGGUUCCAAAGCAACGCAAUUCUUCGGACCAACCUCAUUCCUUCGUUUCUUAUGAACUUUGCGCCAGGCGUGGACCAUCCUAUCCUUCAAGUUCUGGGGAUUUUUACCCUCUUGAAAGAAUAAGCCUUCCAACAAGAUGUUGUUAGGUUUAUCCUUUAAGGGGAACCCAAACUGACAGUGAGCCAAAGCAGGAUUGUAGUUAAUUCCACCACACGUACCAAGAAGAGGUACAUUGGAGAACUCACCACAAGAAUCAAUAAUCUGAAUUCCAUCAUGAACACGAUUAUACCAAGAGAUAUCAUCAUUAGUGAGAGACAUAAGUCUCGCAGACCACCGUAGACAUCCCUUGUUCUCCUUGAAGGCCAGCGUCUGAGGCAAGUGAGAAAUAAACAACUUGUACAACAGAGGCAGACAACACACAAUGGAACCACCACCCUUUGCAUUCCUCGUAUGCAAAGAGAAAUAAGUGUCACCCAAUAGAGUCGGAACGGGAUUAAGAGAAGAGAAAAUCCUAAUAGCGUUCACAUCCACGAAAUUGUCGAUGUUGGGAAAUAACACUACCCCAUAGAUGAGAAGUACAAAUAUGGCUUCAAAAGAGUCCUCACUCAUGGCCUUCCCAAACAAAUUAGCUUUGGCAAUGAGAAAAUCAGAUGGGAGACCUUGAAUUCCACCUUUGGUAGUCAUAUUAGCAACAAUGUCAGAUACAUCCACAUGAAGCAUAUCAGCAAUCUCUUGAGAAGACGGAAUCUUCUCCAAGCCACUAAACGACAACUGAUCAAGAAUAGGUAUACCCACAUGAUAGGCAUACUCCUCAAGUGUAGGCAAAAGCUGGAAAUCCGGGAAAGUGAAGCAUCGAUACAAAGGAUCGUAGAACUGCACCAACACACUCAUCAGACCUUCAUCCACUUUAGUAGAAAGAAUAUACAAGAGCUUCCCAUGGCGAGCUUUGAACUCCAAGGGCUCUAAUAUAUACGAUGUCAAACUCCUUAACUCUUUCAAGUCGAGUUGUCUGAAACUGUACUUCUUCGUAUUCCUUCUUUGCUUAUCCAUGUCUGAAAAUUUGCAAAUAGACCUCUUAAGUUCCUUGAAAACUUUUAUUGUUGAUGAUAUGAAUGCAAAUGAAUGCAUGAAUGCAUGGAUGCAAUAAUCACACUCAAGGAUCAAGCAAGUUACACCACACAAAGGUCAUGGGAUGGCUCAAGUCAUCGUCAAUAUCAAUCAUCCAUUUUGGUGGAUUAUGGUUUACACCUUAUCAACACCCAAGUUCCAUUAAUAUUGAGAAUGUACGAGAAUGGAUCAACCGUGAAUCAAAGGGUUUGUUGUAAGUCACGAGCAUGGAGUCUCGGUUAAGAACCACCCAAAGGGUGUGUACUAUGGUUAACCUGACAAUCAUGUUCUAAAAAGGGUCCCCAUAGUCAUCAUCUCAUCUUUCGGAUAUUAUCGAAUGAAACGACUACUCGUAUCCCAAAAAUAUUCUCAAGAGAGACUCUUAUGAGUGUAGUAUCGCGUAACAAUUGUAUCAAAUCUUACACUUGAACGACCUUCUCACUACGUCCUAAAAUAGGCCAAGAUCAGCUAGGUAUCUAAGGUCCUUGGCUUCUAAGGUUUAUAUUAGAAAGAGUAAUGCCUAACCACGACUACUCGUGUGACAUUAUUAAUCCCAUUAAGACCUCCACCAAGUGAAUGGGCUUCCAAGUCAACUUGUUAAGGAAUAACUCCACACAAGUAAAGAAGACUAUGCCAUUCUCCUAUCAUAAGUGCACUAGAGUUCGGGUAUAGAACUCAUCUCACUAGAAACCACCAAGCAUACAAGAAAUUAAUAUAUCAAGCAAUUCAUACAUUACAAACAAUACAGUCAUCCCAAAUUUGCAUAAAAAUAUGUCACCAAUAAAUAUAAACAUACAACACAUAUAAGCAAAAAGUAGGCUAAACCCACUAGAGAAAUGUUUCCCCAGCAGAGUCGCCACUUUUCUGUAGCGGGGUUUUUGUUACCUUUAAGUUUAUUGACUAAACCAAAAGUAAACAUACAAUUCGAGUCGCCACCGCACUUUUAUUUGUCCAAAGGAAAGGCUAAAAAGCGAACAAAAGCCAAGUAAGAAGUUUUAUCAAAUCAAAAACUACUAAAAAUGUCAGAGAUCUAGGUAAGGGGGUUGGUUAUGAAAUGGGAAGGUUUUAAGCACCCAAAACAUCCUUAGUACUCUAAGGAAACCUCUUUUUGCAAAUAUGUGUUGUAGGUUGGUAUUUGUGACAAUAUGUGCAAAAGAUUGGAGGGAUGAGAAGAGAAUAGAUUAUAUUUACAAAUUUGUUGUUUGAAUGGAUGAACCCAUUGCCUACGUACCCUCACAAAGGUAGGAUCAAAACCUCGUAGUUCGGGGUAAAAAUCACAAAGAUUGGUGAAUUGAUUUGAUCAAAAGCCUUAAGCUCUUUUGUUAUUAAAGGGAGAAAACUCAACCUAAACCAACAAUCCACCAUGCGAAGAAGGCUUCAACAUACUAGUGAGGGGUUAACCCUAUAAUAAGUAUGGAAGACUUAUAAUCCAAUCACUAAGGAUGAGGUGAGAUUUAUAUCAACCACUAUGAUAACUCAAACCUAUGACUAGUGUUUUUGAAAAGUUUUAAUAAGGUGGCCAUUGGAACCACAAAAAUAACUUGAAGUGAGUUAUAUUUACAAGUUAGGUUUAUUUGAAAAAUGAAGUCAAAGUUGGAUUAAGAUUUAUUCACAAUGAGUAUUGAUGAAAAGAUUUUGAAAAGUGAAAGGCAUAAGGCCUAGGUUUCUAAUUUGAAACAAAGUCAAAGUUUGAAAGAAAAAGUUUUUUGACUUGGUUAGAGUGAUGAGGAGAAGAGAAGGGCUAGUCCUAAAGCAUACAAAGAUAAGAGAGAAAAGAUAAAACCCUUGGAGUUCCUUUUCUUGAAAUCAUAGAGAUGAUUCAAGAUGCCCCUUUCCUUUGGACUUAGAAAACACUCAAGCAAUCAAACAAUUUAGAUUCAAGCUCCUAGGAUCUCAUUUUUGGCUUGUCUCCCUUAACUUGGCUACUCAUGACAAUGGUCCUCUUUACUAUCUCAAGAUGGAAUCCCUAUCACACAAGAGCAAACAUCAAAAAGUUCACAAUACAAUAAGGGGAAUGAACAAAGGAUAGGUUUAAAUGAGAAGUCCUUUAAAGUCAACUUUGAGAUUUAGCAUUCUAAAGGCAUGAGGCCUAGUUGCUCUUCAAUAAGUUUAGCAUUCUAAAGGCAUGAGGCCUAGUUGCUCUUGAACUCCUUUAAGCAUAGGUAAGUCCUAAUUCUAAGUCCUUUCUCCUUUUUGAAUUAGGUUCACACAAAACAAAGCAAUCACAAGACAACAAUAUAUUUAUACACAAUAAUGAGCUCAAAUGAGCAAAAGGAAAAUGACAUAAACAUAAAAUAUAUGCUCAAAUGAGCAAAAUGAAAAUCAAUAUGAAUAAGUGAGCAAGAAAUAAAGUGCAUUAAAGUAAAGGGCAAGAAAUUAAAUGCUAAAAUUAAAGUUAGUAAUUAGUGAAGUUAUGUUAGUUUGUCAUAAGACAAUGUAGCGCUAUGUUAAGCAAUCGUAAGUGGACUAAUGUAGUAGUCACACCUAUCUGAGGCCGGUCAAUAAAACUAUAGGAAAAUAAACACAAGUUAGAGAUCUAAGUUAUGUUAGUUUGUCAUAAGACAAUGUAGCGCUAUGUUAAGCAAUCGUAAGUGGACUAAUGUAGUAGUCACACCUAUCUGAGGCCGGUCAAUAAAACUAUAGGCAAAUAAACAUAAGUUAGAGACCAUGACUAGUAAGCCAAGCUCCAAAAACUUGCCAUGCCAAAAUAAAAAGGGGAGAGGCCUUGUAUGGACUUUAGGUUUUUUUGCUUGACCAAUAAGCAACCUAUCUUGGACACAAAACAACUCACUUGAUCUUGGAUCGAGUUGAGUUUGGUUUGGAUCAAAGAAGAUUAAACCUCUCAUUUGUCAAGACCAACCAUAAGUCAUUAACUCAUUGGCCAAAAUAAAAAGAAAUGAAUGAAGAUGAAAUGAAUGGAAAGAGAAUUCAAGCAUCAAAUUCAAUUGAUCUAAUGUGAACUAAGUCAUCCUCAAUCAAUGCCAAACAGAAGAGAAAUGAAGAUUACAAGUCAACAAGUCAACCAUAAUUUUUUGGUAUUUUUGGAAUUAAAAAAAUAAAUGCAAAAUAAAAUAAACAAAAUAUGGUCAAACCUCAAAUUUAAUUCAAAUCAACUUCAACAAGUCCAAUUAAAUUCUCAUAGGUCUAACAUGGUCAAACAAAGUUUGACAAUUUUUUUUAACAAUUUUGGAAUUUAAAAAAUAAAUGCAAAAUAAAAUAAACAAAAUAUGGUCAAACCUCAAAUUUAAUUCAAAUCAACUUCAACAAGUCCAAUUAAAUUCUCAUAGGUCUAACAUGGUCAAGCAAACUUUGACAAUUUUUUUUAACAAUUUUUGAAAUCAGAAACUAUUUUAAAACAAUUAAAAACAAUAAAAAUAACACAAUAUGAAUUAAAAUCUCAAAUAAAUCUCAAAUCAAAUAAGAAAUUGAUGAGACUAUUUUUCAUUGAUUUACCAUGGUCCAUAGGUGUUAGGAAAAUAUUUUUGGAUUUUUCAAAUAUCAGAAAGUAUUUAAAAAUGAAUUAAAACUAUAUAAACCAAAUAAUUCACAAAAAAUAUUAAAUGAAGUCACAAAAAUAAUUAAAAAUCAAAAUAUGAAACUAGAUUUUUCAAGAAUUUUUUUGGCAUUAGUCUCAUAUUUUUGUGACAAAAAUAUUAAAUGAAGUCACAAAAAUAAUUAAAAAUCAAAGGAAUUAACUGAAAUUAAAAGAAAAUAAGAAAAAUAGAAAAAUCCAGCGCCAUCAGAUCAAUUCAUUAAUUGACGUGGCAAAGCAUCAAGGGCUCCAAGACGCGGAUACAAGGUACACGUGAGUCAAGCGCGCCACAUAUUGCAUUAAAACAAGUCAACACAUGGAAUGACCAAGAUUAAAACGUUGAGGCACGAACCAAAGGCUGGGAGAUGCACACGUGGUACAGGCGGUGGAAAAGACCUUCUUCUCCGGUGAAGUACCAGAAUCCGGCCACCACGCGACGAAAAAAAAGUUGUAAUGAAAAUGUAAAAUGAGGACAUCAAAAUGAAGAUGAGGUGAUGUACAUCACCCUUGUAACCAUGGAUCAUCCUCACAGUUCCUAUUUAGAGAGAAACGUGAGCUUGAAGAUCAUGGUGCAUGAACUGAAAUGGCACGAUUUGCAAAAUUAAGACCACCACUGGCCUGCCUCAAGUGAGAGGACUUCAGAAAACCACACAAACCAAAGAAAAUCACAUUGUAUUGCAAGAUCUAGAUCAAAAAAGUUUGAGGUUCUACCUCUGAAAUGAAGCUUCAAAUAACACGAAUCCUUCAAGCUCUUGAUCUACUUUUGCUCUGGAAGUGUGAUGGUGAUGAUAGGUUAAGGAAUUGAGCUUUGAAAAUCAACUAAUGAUGUUGAAAUUAAAGCUUGAAAAAGGGAAAGGAAACUGAAAAUUCCUUUAGUUAGGGUUGGGAUUUCAAUUCAACAGCAAUUCAGAUCUCCACUUGGUUGCCAAUUGAAUGAGAAUGCACACUUAUUUAUAGCUGAAAUGGAUUGUCAAGCAUGGUUCCCUCGUGUGCAUGGAAUUUGAAUUCCUCUUGCAUGGGCCCGUACAGGCGCAUGUAAGGCCCAAUGAUGGGUGAAAAUCCUUGCUGAGACCAUCUAGAAAUGAAUUGGACGUGUAAUUGGAGUGGCAUUAGCUUGCACAUGAAGUUUUAACAUGGAAAUGCAAAAAUGAACAUAGAUAGAAAGCUCUUCGAAACUCACACAUGGAAAGUCAAAAAAAUUAACGUGAGUAAUGGUUGGAAAGCUCUUGAAAUAAGGAACAAAAGUCAUGUUGGGCAAAACUUCAUUUGGAGUUUGGAACUUAAUGAAAACUAGCUGUGAAAGUUUGGGUACAAAACAUGUCUAAGUCACCUUUGAAAAUAUUCACCAAAAUCAAGCCUCUUCAAGCCCUUCUGUUUCAAUGAUGCAAGCUUCAAAUGGAAAAACUUCCAACAUCAAAGUUUUAGAUCCUUUCAAGAUGAUCAAUUUAGAAUUGAAUUUUGCAUCAUUUGGAUUUUUCAUGAGAAAGUUAUGGGCACUUGAAGUUGGGAAUUUUUCAAAUUCAAUGACUUAGGUCAAAAGUGACCUAUAAUGUUUUGUAUUAUCACAUGUAUUUAUUUUGGGAUUAUGAAAUUUUGUCCAACAUAACAUAUGAAGCAGACAUCUUAAGAGUUCAAAUUAAUUUGGUCUAACCUCAAAAUCAUAAAAAUUAAGGAAGUUAUGUCCUUGGGAAGUUGACCCAAAAUUAGGGUUUUAGUCAAAAUGACCUAUAAUGUUUUGAAAUGAAUGAUGACCUUAAAAGUUUCAAAUGGGGUUUUUAUGAACAUGAACGUUGUUCAUAUGGUUCUUAAGAAAAUUAUUUCUCUUGGGGUCAUCUUCAUUUGACAAACACAUCAAAAGUUGUAUCUCAGUGAUCUUCAGUUUAGUCAGAUGACUUGACUUGUCAACUUUUCAAAGCCAAACUUCCAAUCUUGAUGAAUAAAUGAUUGAGGGACCUAAAAUAGGCUCAUAUAUUCAUAAAAUAAUGAAUGAAAGAACUUCCCUUGAUUAAAUUUGAUCAUAGGUUGAGGUUGCUUCAUGGGCAAGGCACAGUCAAAGCAUAGUGGAAUUAGGGUUUCCUUGGGAAGCAAUCCUCAAGCCCUUUGGGUUAUCUUGAUCAAAUUGGCAAAUUGAUAUACUUGGGAGACAUAUAUGAUGAUUAGGAGCUUUGUGGAACAUUGUCAUGUUUAUUCUCAUCUUCAUCUAGCCACUUCAUUGAGCUUAGGAGCCUCCUAGGAGCAUGGGAGCACAUGAUCACUUGAGCUUCAAAACAAAAAGAGUUAGUGACAUAUUUUUGUGCUUUUGAUUAGUAAUCAAAGUAGGAAAGAAAAUAAUAUACAAUACAAGCAUGCUUGGUGGUUUCAAACCACUCACACAAGUCCCAACCCAAGGGUUAAGGAGCCAAUCAUGCUAUGAUCCUUGAGGCAAUGCAAUGAGCAAUGAUAUGAUACCAUGAGAGAUCUUAGGGUCAAAAUUAGGGUCUUACAGUCACCCAACAAAUUCGGAACAAGAUUCCCAAUCAAGAAUAAUCUAAUGGAGUUAACAUUAACAAAUUUGUCAAUGUUAGGGAAUACUGUUAAACCAUAGACGAGCAAAACAAAGAUGACUUCAAAAGCAUCCAUGCUACUAGCUUGAGCAAAAGCAGUAGAUUUACCAAUGCGAAACUCAGAAGUUCGACCUCAAAUCCCUCCUUUCUUCGUCAUAUUGGGAUCGAUCUCGGACUUCUUCAAAUGAAGAGUAUCAAUUAUGACAUGAGAUCUAGGAAUCUCAUUUAAUCCACUGAAGGGCACCUUGUUGGAUACAAGCAUACCCAGAGAUAGACAUACUCCUCCAACGUGGGCAUAAGCUGAUAAUCGGGAAAAGUGAGAUACCGAUAAAAAGGAUCAUAGAAUUUGACCAAGACACUCAAGAGUCCUUCCACCACUUCAGUAGACAGUACAGAUAAAUGCUUCCCAUGACGUUGCUUGAAAUCCAAGGGAUCUAAGACAAAGGAUGCUAGCUUCCUUAGCUCUUUCAAGUCAGGACAUCUGAAACUGUACUUCUUAGUGUUCCUUCGUCCAUAAUCCAUGGUCUGAAAAUAUUUGCAAAUACGACCUUAGUUCCUUGAAAAUAUAUUUUCUGUGAUUAAUGUUAUGAUGCGCAUGUAUGCAUGAAUGCAACAAUCACACACAAGAGAUCACACACAAGGAAAACACAGACAAAGGUCACGGGAUGGAUCAAGUUAUCAUUAAAAUCAAUCAUCCAUUUUGGUGAAUUAUGGUUUACACCUUAUCAACACCCAAGUUCCAUUGAUUUUGAAGAUAACAAAUCAGAUCAACCGAGAAUCAAAGGGUUUGUUGUGACUCACGAGCAUGGAGUCAGGUUAAGAAUCGUCGCAAAGGAGUGUACUAAGGAUAAAACCUAUAUGUCAUGUUCUAAAAAGUUCUUAGAGUCGUGAUCCUAUCUAUCAGAUACUAUAGGGUAGGAUGACUGACUCAUCAACCCAUAGUACUCUCAAGAGAAACUUUUUUUAGUGUAGUAUCGUGUAACAACUGUUAUCAAGUCUACACCUGAACAGUCUCUGCAUCACGUCCUAAAUAGGCCAAAAUGGGUUAAAUAUUCUAUGUUCCUCAGCUUCUCGGACUCCCAGGUCGGAAAAAGUAAUUCUUAUCCGCGACUUACUCGUGUGACAUCAGUAAUUCCAAAGGGGUCUCCACUGAGUAGAUGGAUCUCAAGACAGCUCGUUAAGGACUACUCCAACCGAGUCGAACAUAACUAUACCAUCCUCCUAUCUUAAUUGCACUCAAGUUUGGGUUAUUGAUCACACUAAAUCACACCGCAUAUUUGACUCGGAUUACACAUGUUUAUUAGGUCUUUAUUAUCAUUUUGCUUAUAUUAUGCUCUCUUUUGUGUUGUUUUCAGGUAUUUAGCUCUUUCAGGACCUUUUAAGAAGAAACGAACCAAAAAGACCAAAAAAUUAGGGUUUUCGGCAAAUAUUGUACUCGUGGCGUUCUACAUAGCGGCCGCUAUAGGAGAAGUCAUGACACAUCAGCCCUCAACAAGGAGGAAACUUCCACGAUCCCAUGAAUUUCCCCAUUUACUCACAUGGCGGGCACCAUGGAGGGGUGGCGGGCGCCACCUUUGAAUUCCACAUUCCCACUAAAGAGCAGUUGAAGGGCAUCCUGGCCCUUGCAUGCUGUUGAGUUCCUCUAUAAAUAGGGCGUUAUAGUUCACUUUCAAAUGAUCCAACUUAGUUUACAACACUAAGACUAUAAUAUCAUUUGUAAAAGCGAUAAUCCGUCACAUCGAGGGGUUAUCGCACCUUAGUGUAAUUGAGUUGGAGCACUUUGAUUUUAUCGUCAUCUUUAUUUUCAAAAUCAAAGGUUUAUUUACUUCCUUGUACCAGAUUUAAAGCCUCCGUUUGGAGUAGGUUCUAAUUUAAUCGCCUUUUUAUUUUACUUGUGAUGCCUUACUUUAUUUAAUUCCUUGUCAUGCUUUACUUUAUUUAAUUCCUUGUCAUGCUUUACUUUAUUUAAUUUCCUUCCACUGUCUUUACUUUAUUUAAUUUCCUGCCAUUGUCUUUACUUUAUUUAAUUUUCUCGCCAUUAUCUUUAUUGCUCGUUUUAAUUGUUUUACACGCUUUACUUGUUCUUCACGCCUUACAUUCUAAACUUUUUCUCGCCAUUAUCUUUAUUGCUCGUUUUAAUUGUUUUACACGCUUUACUUGUUCUUCACGCCUUACAUUCUAAACUUCUUUUCAUCAUGUUCAACAUCGUUGUAUUUGUUUGUAUUACCAUGUCUGUCUAAAUCUUUCAAAGGUUAGAAUGUAAGGGUCGCGGUUAAAGAGAUGUUUCACAUAUUGCAUCUGUAGAAAUGCUUUAGGGGCUGUUUUUAUUUUUAAUUCGAGUUUUCUGAAACAAACUUGGUUAAUUUUAACUACUCAAGGAGUGCGAAAGCACCCUGGCUUAGUUAACUAGGAAUUUUUAUCACUUUAGGGAAAAACGAUUUUUGAAACUGUUUUUGGACGCGUUGAUAGAUUUAAAUUCAGGAAACUCCUUGGGUAAACUUUCCGAAUCAAAAUCACUUUUCAACUAAGCUUACGAGUAUUAUUUCUUAAAAAUAGGUUUACUACUUUAGCAUUCUGCGCACCUUUUAUAAGUGACAAUAAAAGGCCUUAAUUUAAGGGUAAACUCGGUUCUGAAUACGCAAAAGCGACAGUUCAUAUUAAAUGGAUUCUUUUCAAGAGUAGAAAAUAUUGCCCCAUAAGUAGUUCUAUUUAGACAAUCGAAGCAUCGUUUAACUGACGUGAAAUACAUUCAAGCCUAUCUUUAUCUGCACUGUAUUUAUCAUUUUCUUUAUUUACUGUUAUUUUGCGACAUCAAUAUCUCAUUUGUACCGCCUUAGAUAAACAUCGUAACAAUAAUAAUCAAUAGAUUGACGAUUUGGUCUUUGUGGGAUCGAUAAUCUUUUAUAUUACUCUGACGCGAUUCGUGCACUUACGAAUAUAGCGAUCAAGUUUUUGGCGGUGUUGCCGGGGACCAACUUCGUCAAAUUUCGUACCCUGUUGUUACACCGUCUAGACUAAGGCAUUAUUAGCUGGUAAAUGCGAAGAACCCAUAGUACCAGAAAUUUAGUAGAUCCUUUAGCGGAACCCGAAUGUUACACUCGUACAUGCCUCUUAGUUGUCCGAAUUAAGAAAUCUAUGACCGAGAAUCGCGACCGGAGACCUCUUAAGGAAUUUGCCCAACCCUCUGACGAGGAACCUAGUUUAAGUAUAGUAAACCCCCUCAUUCCUGCCAACAAUUUCGAACUAAAACCAUAUUUACUGCAAUUAGUGCAACAAAACCAAUUCGCGGGUCUCGCUACUGAGAACCCAAAUCAACAUUUAAAAGUCUUUAUCUAACUGGCCAAUUCGUUUAAGAUUAUUUCCUUUCUCCCUCAGAGAUAGAGCACGUUCAUGGUUAGAUUCACUUCCAGCUAACUCAAUAACUACCUGGGAAGACCUUAGGAGAGUAUUCCUUGCUAGAAAUUUUCCCCCUAGUACGACUGCUGUUCUUCGAAACCAAAUAACUAGAUUUACUCAAAACCAAGGAGAAUCACUUUUUGAAGCUUGGGAGAGAUACAAGGAGCUGUUAAGAGUCUGUCCACACCAUGGCCUAGAACAAUGGUUGAUCGUUCAUGCCUUCUACAAUGGACUCCAUUAUAACACAAAGAUGAGCAUCGACGCUGCCGCUGGUGGCGCGUUGAUGAACAAACCUUACCCUGAAGCUUGUGACCUAAUUGAGGAUAUGACUCAAAACCAUUACCAACGGGGAACUGAACGAGCAUCAGUAGAGAAAAAGGAGACCCAAGGUGGAAUACAUGAGAUAAUUUCUAUGGACAUGAUGCAAGCGAAAAUGGACGCUUUAGCCCUUAAGGUCGAACAUAUUUUUAGAAACUCUAACACCGCAACGGUAGUCCACACAGAGUGUGAACUUUAUGGAUCUGAAAGACACGAAUCGACGGAAUGUAACCUUUUAAAUGACCUGAACACCGACCAAGUGAAUUACGCCCAAGGUAACCCAUUUUCAAACACUUACACCCCUGGAUGGAAGAAUCACCCGAAUUUUUCCUAUAAAAACCAGAACCCUAUCCAAAAUUUUGCACCUCAAAGACCAUAAGGUUUUCAAGCCCAAAAACCAAAUCAACCUAUGCAAGUUGUGCCCCAGAAGCCUAACCUUGAGAAGAUCAUGGAGAACUUUAUAUCAGGCCAGACUCAGCAAAAUAAAGAAUUCCUAAACCAGAACAUUCACGUAAACGAACUGAUAAUGCAAUUCGGGACUAAGGUUGAUCAUAUAAUUACUCAUAAUAAGAUGCUUGAAACCCAGAUCUCACAGGUAGCACAAAACCAAGCCCCACAAACUACACCUGGAGGACAAUUCCCUGGACAACCUCAACUCAACCCUCGAGGGAAAGCUAACGUUAUCACAUUACAAAGUGUGACCGCUUACGAAGGGCCUUAUAACCCAGCAAUGAGCGAGUCCAAAGCUUCUAAAAACAAUAUACCUACUAACCAAGGAGGGGAACCAGUGGAACCCGAAAAACAAACUGACCAAGAAGGAGAAGCCAAGGAUAAAACUUACAAACCACCACCCCCGUACAAACCACCAAUCCCAUAUCCGCAAAGACUUAAACAAACCAAAAUCGAUAACCAAUACCAAAAGUUUAUAAAAGUAAUAGAGAAGCUUCACGUAGAGAUUCCUUUCACCGAAGCCAUCACCCAAAUUCCAACUUAUGCCAAAUUUCUCAAAGACAUCUUAACCAACAAGCGCAGGCUUGACGAUCCCAAACCCUUGGAAUGCAACUUUAUUUCUGAGAAUAAACUUGCUAAGAAGGAGAAAGACCCUGGGAUUUUUUCUAUACCUUGCAUUCUAGGGAGUCAUGUGAUCGACAAAGCUUUCCUAGACUUAGGCGCUAGUGUGAGUUUAAUGCCCUUAGCUGUGUGUAAAAGGUUAAACAUAGAAGAAUUACAACCAAAUAAGAUGUCCCUUCAAUUAGCCGAUAGAUCUGUUAAGUAUCCUGUAGGCAUAUUAGAAGACAUCCCCGUUAGGAUCAGUUAACUUUAUAUCCCGACAGACUUUGUGGUCAUGGAUAUUAAGGAAGAUGACGAUAUCCCUAUCCUUUUAGGUAGACCAUUUUUAUCAACAAUCGGAGCUAUAAUAGAUGUUAAAAGAGGAAAAUUAACUUUCGAAGUAGGAGAUGAAAAGAUAGAGUUUAUUCUUUCAAAGUUCCUGAUGGCACCAAUCAUAGGAGACGCAUGUUACGCGAUUGAUAUCAUAGAUGAAUGCAUAAGGGAAUUUGAUCAAGAAGAACCUAUGAUCGAACCAUUUUCAAACCCGAAUGAAAAGGAUGACGAGCUAAAGGAAACGGAACCUGACACUAACGAAUGUUUGACCCUUACUCUAGACCUUUCACCAAACUCUAAAAAAACCAGCUCAAGAACUUAAGGAAUUGCCUAAGAACCUAAGAUACGAGUUUUUGGAUAAAGAAAUGAACCUCCUAGUAAUAGUUAGUGCCACCUUAAACCAAGACGAGACAAACCAACUCUUGAAUGUUUUACGAAGAUACCCCUCUGCCUUAGGAUACAACAUCUCUGAUUUAAAAGGUAUAAGCCCAUCAGUGUGUAUGCACAAGAUCUCGCUAGAGGAGGAUUCAAAACCUUCUAGAGAACAUCAAAGAAGAAUCAACCCUGUAAUGAGUGGGGUGGUGAAGAAGGAAGUCCUUAAACUGCUAGAAGCUGGUAUAAUCUAUCAGAUCUCUGAUAGUAAAUGGGUAACUGCUGUACAUGUGGUACCCUAAAAGGGAGGCAUCACAAUCGUGCAAAACGAGAAGGGCGAGCUCGUGGCUAAACGUAUAAAAGGCGGAUGGCGUAUGUGCAUAGACUAUAGGAAACUCAAUAAGGCAACUAGGAAAUACCAUUUCCCCCUUCCAUUCAUAGAUCAAAUGCUUGAGCAUCUUUCCAGACACUCUUACUUAUGUUAUCUGGAUGGACAUUCUCGAUUUUUCCAAAUACCCAUACACCCCGAGGAUCAAGAGAAAACAACCUUCACCUGUCCUUACAAAACAUUUGCUUACAGACGAAUGCCAUUUGGACUCUGCAAUGCGUCAACUACUUUCCAACGUUGUAUGAUGUCAAUCUUCACAGAUUAUCUCGACGGUAUUAUGGAAGUGUUCAUGGAUGAUUUCUCGGUAUGUGAGUUUGACUUUGAGAAUUGCCUCAUUAAUCUUGAGAAAAUCCUAGAAAGAUGCGUAGAAGUUAACCUUGUAUUAAACUGGGAGAAGUGCCACUUUAUGGUUAAAGAAGGCAUAGUGUUAGGAUAUAUAAUAUCUGAAAGAGGCAUUGAGGUUGACAAAGCAAAGAUAGAAGUGAUAGAAAACCUUAACCCUCCUAAGAAUGUUAGAGAAGUCUGAAGUUUUCUUGGACACACCGGUUCUUACCGACGCUUUAUCAAAGAUUUCUCUAAAAUAACAAAACCCCUGACCGACCUUCUGAUGAAAGACGUUAAAUUCAUUUUCAAUGAAAAAUGUAUCGAAGCCUUUAAUCAUUUAAAACAAGCGCUAAUUUCAACACCCAUUUUACAAACUCCGGAUUGGACUCAACCUUUUGAAAUAAUGUGUGAUGCUAGCAAUUUCGCUGUAGGAGUUGUUUUAGGACAAAGAAAAAAUAAGAAAUUACAUGUGAUAUAUUACGCUAGUAGAACCCUAGAUGCCGCUCAACUCAAUUAUACGACAACAGAGAAGGAACUCUUAGUUGUAGUUUUUGCAAUUGAUAAAUUUAGGUCUUAUCUUAUUGGAUCUAAGAUUAUAGUCUACACAGACCAUGCAGCUAUACGUUACCUUCUAAUAAAAAAGGAUGCGAAACCUAGGUUACUCAGAUGGGUCCUUUUUCUACAAGAGUUCGACUUAGAUAUCUGAGACAAAAAAGGAACAGAAAACAUAGUUGCUGACCAUCUUUCCAGACUAGAGCAUUUGAAGCCAGGACAUUUACCUAUAAAUGAUGAUUUCACCUAUGAUAUAUUGAUAGCUAAGUUAGAUACCGUUCCCCUUGAACAUGAUAGAGACAACUUUGGAACAGUUUCAGAGAUUAACAGAGUACCAUGGUACGCUGAUUUUGUGAAUUAUCUAGCCGCUGAUAUCAUACCACCUGACCUCAAUUAUCAACAAAAGAAGAAGUUCUUUAAAGAUGUAAUACAUUUCUAUUGGGACGAACCACUCCUUUUUAAAAGAGGAACAAAUAACAUCUUUCGACGUUGCGUCCCGGAAGAAGAAGUCAGAAAUAUCAUAGGGCAUUGUCACUCUUCACCCUAUGGUGGACAUUCAAGCACAUCCAAUACACACGCUAAGAUCCUUCAAGCGGGUCUUUAUUGGCCAACACUAUGGCGUGAUGUCCAUACUUAUAUUGUCCAAUGUGACCAGUGCCAGCACGCUAGAAACAUCUCAAGACGCGACGAAAUGCCUUUGAAGAACAUCCAAGAAGUGGAAUUAUUUGAUGUUUGGGGUAUUGAUUUCAUGGGACCUUUUCCAUCUUCGAUGGGAAACAAGUAUAUUUUGGUAGUCUAAACAUCUCAAGACGCGACGAAAUGCCUUUGAAGAACAUCCAAGAAGUGGAAUUAUUUGAUGUUUGGGGUAUUGAUUUCAUGGGACCUUUUCCAUCUUCGAUGGGAAACAAGUAUAUUUUGGUAGUCCUCGACUAUGUGUCCAAAUGGAUAGAAGCUAUAUCAUCGCCCACUAACAACACAAGAGUAGUCAUCAAGUUGUUUAAAAACAAUAUUUUCCCCAGAUUUGGAGUACCACGACUUGUCAUAAGUGAUGGUGGAUCACAUUUUAUAUCCAGGAUAUUCGAUAAACUCUUAAGAAUGUAUGGAGUAAAACACAGAGUAACAACACCAUAUCAUCCCCAGACUAAUGGUCAAGUGGAAGUAUCAAACAUAGAGAUUAAGCAAAUCUUGGAAAAAACUGUUUCAAUAUCCAGAAAAGAUUGGUCUGAAAAGCUAACAGAAGCAUUGUGGGCUUACAUAACUGCUUACAAAACCCCUAUUGGAACUACACCAUACCAGUUAGUCUAUGGAAAGUCAUGCCACUUACCUUUUGAACUUAAGCACAAAGCAUAUUGGGCCAUCAAGACCCUGAAUUUGGAUUACCUAUGGAACUACACCAUACCAGUUAGUCUAUGGAAAGUCAUGCCACUUACCUUUUGAACUUAAGCACAAAGCAUAUUGGGCCAUCAAGACCCUGAAUUUGGAUUACCUAGCAUCUGGCGAGAAGCGAAUCCCUGAUAUCCACAAAUUGGAGGAACUCCGCCAGAACGCUUACGAGAAUGCCAUUUUAUACAAAGAAAGAACCAAAGCAUGGCAUGACAAAAGGAUUGUGAAAAAGAAAUUUAAUAUAGGCGACUCUGUUCUCCUUUUCAAUUCCAGAUUACGACUUUUUCCAAGUAAGCUGCGUUCGAGAUGGACAGGCCCCUUUAAGGUUUCCAAAAUCCUCAAAUCUGGAGCAGUUGAAAUCCGAAACAAUUCCUGUAAUCCGUUUGUGGUAAAUGGACAAAGACUGAAGCAAUAUCAAGGAGGUGACAUCCCCACAGAAUUCCCUGGCCAUACUCUGGUCGACCCUCCGGUUCCUACCUUUGAUAUAUAAAGUUCAAAUCGUCAAGCUAACGACGUUAAAUAAGCGCUACAUGUGGAGGCAACCCAUGAUUUUCUUUUCCUUUACUUCACUUUUUCGAUUUAUAUUUUCAUAUGUUUUUCAUAUAUAUAUUUUUGUUUAGACUAACAGUUGCAAUAUUUACAAUUUCAGGUGUCCUCUGUUUUUAACCUAACUUUUCAGGAUGGAGAAUUUCGACACUAUGCCAGUGAUCUUUCGUGACCCAGUAUAGGAGCAACACUAUGCCAUGCUUUCCCAGCGUCCAAUGCUGCCCACAAGAUAUCCUGAUUCAAGCUGCAUGGAAGCAUUAGGCAUUAAGCCUAGUGUCAGGAACUUGUGCAGUCAGUUGCAAUAGGAUGAGUAUACUGAAGUGAUGCAUGUGACUUACAGGAACCUCACUUUGGAGUUCUUGAGCUCUUUGAACUACGAGCCCUAUGUUGGUCACGUUAGUGAUAAUGGCUACAUUAAUUUCAGGAUGUUUGGGACAAAGUACACCUUCAACCACAAGCGUUUCGGUGACUUACUUGGAUUUUAGACUACUUAUGAUGCCUCAUCUGAGCUCCCCAUGAGCUAUUUUCUGAGUAGAGACGUUGAGAAGUUCUGGAGUGACAUUACAUAUGGAGGUAGCCCUGACUCUUCCACCCAAAUCUCUAACAAGAUCCAUAAUCCUGCUUUCAGAUAUUUUCAGAUGAUUAUUGCCCACACCUUCCUGAGGAAGAGUGACACUGAUACACACGUAAGUGCUGAGAUUUUCUUCAUGUACUGUACCACUCAGUCACGCCCAGUAGCUUGCGGGGAUUUUCUGAUCGAGAGUCUCUAUCUUAAUGCUCACUCUGCUGUGAGUCCUAUACAUGUUGGAAGCACGAUAACCCAUAUAACCUCCGCCAUAGGACUUGAUAGAAGGCUAUUACACCUAACAUCUUUUUGCAGUUAUACUUUGAUGGAUAUUGACUUCUAUCUGGACUGUGGCCUCAUGAGGAGAUCUUCUUUCCACCCUGAUCAAUACAGGCUCUUGAUCGAGGGUGAGACUAUUCACUACUUUACUUUACCAGACCCUCUGGUAACUUGUGUUUAUAAUCAAGCCAACUGGGCCUAUGCCAUAAAAGGCCAAGUCGAGACAGUAGAUGAGCAGAGAAUCCCACCUGAAGCAGAGCAGCAUCCAACACCUACCAGGAUCAAAAUCCUCACCAAUAAUCCAAACCUUCAGAGUCCAAGCAUGCAUUCUGAGCUUGUUAAGCUUCGUAUGGAGAUAGCCCAGCCCCUCCAGGAGCUUGCUGACGUUGCUUUGCAGGUCGAAGUGUCAGAUGCCACACAUGCCACUAAAACCGAUAUACCGAACAAUGAGAUCACUGACCUUAGACACCUGAUUGCAAAGCUCCAAGGAUCCGAAGUUGAGGAGACUCCAUUAUUCCCUGGACAUUGAUGAUAUCACUGACCGAGAGAUUCCGUUUGCUUUACUUAUUUCCCAUUAUUAGACUUAUUAUUUAUGCUUGUUUUUCUUUUAUUUUUGACUUUAUGCUUGCUUUUCCUUUCCUAGCAUCUCUCGACCCGUGACUUAUUACUAACUAUUCAGACACACACACACACACAGCACAACACAGUUCACACACAGAUAUAUAUAUAAUAUAUAAAUAUAUAUAAUAUAUAUAUAUAUAUAUGUUACUAUUAUUAUGUUUUUUUAUUUUCUUUUACUUUACUUUAUUUUUUUUAUUUUGUCAUUUAUCAAGCUUAAUCAAAAUCAAAAAGGCAGCAUGUUAUGGAAGCCUAGUGUAACCACCUUUGCAAAAUGAGGAAAAGUUGUAGCCCAAGAGAAAGGAACAAGCCCGACCAAACAACAAGUCCGGAUGCAUGGCAGGCGCCAUGGGUCUGUACCUUUACGGACAGAAUCCUUAAAUUCCCCAUUUGCCUUCUUCAACCUCUCAAAACCCAUUUUCUCCUCCUCCACCUCCAUUGAAGUCCACGAAAGUUCCCAACUUAUCAUUCUAAUCCAACCCAUUAUCAUUCCAAACUUUCACACUCAUCAAUUUCCUCCACCAAAAACCCACUACAAUCCCAUUUUCACUUCCUUACCAUAAAAACCCAUUUUCUCUUCACUCACCAUCAAUGGAUGGAAUGGAAUUCAACAAUAUCAUCCUCCGCGGAGGGAAACCUGGAGAGCGUCAAAACAAAAUUUUACAGAAGUUGCAAACACGGGAAAUUCUCGCCACCAGGUAUGUAGAUGAGGACUGUUUGUAUACUUUAGGGAUGUAUCAUAGUGUUUUUCAUAUGCUAGAUAAUUUAGAACUGCAUGAGAUUUUUUCUAAUAAGGAACCCACCUAUGAUAGGUUGACCAGGGAAUUUCCGAGUUCCCUAAUUUACACCGUUCAACCUAGCACUGCUAGCGCGGUUGGUACCGUAUGUUUUAUAAUGGUCAACAUUGAAUAUGAGUACACUACCGACGCUUUAGCAAGUUUGUUAGGAAUGCCUUAUAGAGAGGGUGCCGUUUGUGAGACACCCUUAGAUGAAGAAUGGGAACUUGAAGCCUUUAACUUUUGGAAUAAAUUAUCGAAUGUGGCUGCCACUUCUUUUGAAGGAAUUUUAGCCUCCACUAUUCAUAACCCGACCAUCCGUAUUUUUCGAUAUCUUUUAGCAUGUACUAUUUUUGGUCGGGAAAAUUCUAAUAAAGUAAAUGCUCGUGAGUUUCUAUUUUUACAGGGUUACCUCACUAAUCGAAGGAUCAAUCCUGUUCCUUUUAUGCUUUCACAUAUGUCUGCCAUUUUGAAAAAAGGAGGAACCAUUUCUUUUGGUGGAUUAAUUACUUCUAUUGCUAGAGCACUAAAUCUCAACACUGAGUUAGCUACCUUAGAACCGCUCCCUCACCGCACCAUUAACUUGAAAUUUUUGAAGGAUAUGAAAUUAUGCAAAGUGCGGUGAGCAGGCGAUUCUAACCUCAUGAUCCAUGGUGUAGCUAUACCGAGUGUUGUUUUACCUUGCUCUCAGGGUACAGAUGUGCGACAUGCAAGGAACUGGACAUAUGAUCUCGAUGCUCCACCUUUUACCGGUCCUUUGCCACCUAAUGUCCCUAUGGACGAUGGGCAAGGGACCGAUGAUGAGUAUGACCGGUGCGACCAGUCCCCUGCUCAUGAUAUUCCUACACACACUGCAUCACCUGCACACACUCCACCUUCUUCUUCUGACCAUUUUGCAGGUACCAAUCUCGGUUUUUACAUCAUUGAGGAGAUGUGGCGUGAGCACCUGACUUGGGAAGAAAGGCGCACUGAGCAAGCACAUCGGACUAUCACGGAGUCCUUGCUUGCGAUCACUAAUAAGCAAUAAUGCCAGCAAUAGGCUAAUGAACGGUACUUCGCACUUAUCGAGGCCAACCAAGGGUCUCUCUUAGGUCGCUCUAGGAAGCUGCAGGAAGGUCUUAGCCGUCGUAGCAGGAGUCGUCGACCCAGGCAUCCUGACCAGGGCAGUGACGGUGCCGGUGAUCAACCAUAGUUCUCUCUCUUUCAGGUUACUCCUACCCUAUCUCAUAUCGAAACAUUGAGGACAAUGUUCGGUUUAAGUGUGGGAGGAUAUUUUUAUCUCUUUCCUUUAUUUUCAGUAUGUUUUAUGUGUUUUAGUUGUUUGCUUUUCUUUCAAUAAAAUAAUAUGUGUUUGACGAGUCAUCUGUGUGGUGUAUCUGUACUUCUCCCAUUUCUUUAGCCUUACCAAUAAUUUUGUGAGCAAAGAAAAUAAUGUAUUUUGAAUAUUCAGGCUAUAAGACAGGUUUAUGACAGGAUGUAAAAGAUUUGGGAAAACUUUUUCUAAAAAUCGAUAUCAUCUUGACAGCGUAGGCUUCAUGAUUAUAAGAGUCGAUCCCGAUACCCCAUAUGUUAUCGCCCUAAUUUUUGUUCCAAAUAAGUCCUUAAGUAGUUUAUCCUUGCAGUCAGCUUCGGCUUAAGCAUUCUCUAUGUAGGGGACCAAUGAAAGUAAGUGAAUGAUCCUAAAAAGUUAUGCUUUGUUCUCUAGUUGUAUGAAAUUCCGGGCUAGGUAACUCUCACACGGUCAUUUAACCCAGCAAAAUAAAGAGGUUUGUGAACAUGUAGAAAAAUAAAAAUAAAAUAAUAAUAUGCCCAUUGUUGGUUGGUCCAGAGUUAUCUGGUGCUGAACUUGGUAGGAUGGAUUAUGAUCCAAUCCCCCACAACUACAAUUGGGUUGAAUAAAGGGGCUACACCAACUUAUGUACCAGAGCCCCAUGCUUAAGAUCAUAAUCACUAACCGGUCACCUUACUAUGAGUAUGUACGGAUAACAGGCUUAAUAUGAUUGCACUUGAAUGAAAAGGACUUGAAGAAGAUGAAAAGAAGGCCUAGGUAUGGUGGGGUGAUAUGGAUUGAUUUGUAUAGGAACAAAGCCUAUGAUCGCAUUUGUAGAAAGUGUCACUGCAAUAUCCUUAGUUCGAUUCGUUAGUACCUAUCGAUACAUUCCUUGAAUGAACUUAUAAUCCUUUUUAGCCUUGAAUUAACUCUGGUUGAUACUGUCUUUCUUGCAUGAGCUAUAAAGAGUUUUGCUUGAGUUAUGCUCUCUUUUGUGUGGGAGAAUUUGAUCACACUGAAUCACACUGCGUAUUUGACUCGGAUUACACAUGUUUAUUAGGUCUUUAUUAUCAUUUUGCUUGUGUUAUGCUCUCUUUCGUGUUGUUUUCAGGUAUUUAGCUCUUUCAGGACCUUUUUAGAAGAAACGAAGCAAAAAGACCAAAAAAUUAGGGUUUUUGGCAAAUAUUGUACUCGUGGCGUUUUGCAUAGCGGCCGCUAUAGGAGAAGCCAUGACACAUCAACCCUCAACCAGGAGGAAACAACCACGAUCCCAUGAAUUUCCCCAUUUACUCACAUGGCGGACGCCACCUUUGAAUUCCACAUUCCCACUAAAGAGCAGUUGAAGGGCAUCCUGGUCCUUGCAUGCUGUUGAGUUCCUCUAUAAAUAGGUCGUUCUAGUUCACUUCCAAAUGAUCCAACUUAGUUUACAACACUAAGACUAUAAUGUCAUUUGUAAAAAUGGUAAUCCGUCACAUCGAGGGGUUAUCGCACCUUAGUGUAAUUGAGUUGGAGCACUUUGGUUUUGCCGUCAUCUUUAUUUUCAAAAUCAAAGGUUUAUUUACUUCCUUGUACCAGAUUUAAAGCCUUCGUUUGGAGCAGGUUCUAAUUUAAUCGCCUUUUUAUUUUACUUGCCAUGUCUUACUUUAUUUAAUUCCUUGUCAUGCUUUACUUUAUUUAAUUCCUUGUCAUGCUUUACUUUAUUUAAUUUCCUGUCAUUGUCUUUACUUUAUUUAAUUUCCUGCCACUAUCUUUACUUUAUUUAAUUUUCUCGCCAUUAUCUUUAUUGCCGGUUUUAAUUGUUUUACACGCUUUACUUGUUCUUCACGCCUUACAUUCUAAACUUCUUUUCAUCAUGUUCAACAUCGUUGUAUUUGUUUGUAUUACCAUGUCUGGCUAAAUCUUUCAAAGGUUAGAAUUUUUUACACGCUUUACUUGUUCUUCACGCCUUACAUUCUAAACUUCUUUUCAUCAUGUUCAACAUCGUUGUAUUUGUUUGUAUUACCAUGUCUGGCUAAAUCUUUCAAAGGUUAGAAUGUAAGGAUCGUGGUUAAAGAGAUGUUUCACAUAUUGCAUAUGUAGAAAUUCUUUAGGGGCUGUUUUUAUUUUUAAUUUGAGUUUUCUAAAAUAAACUUGGUUAAUUUUAACUACUCAAGGAGUGCGAAAGCACCGUGGCUUAGUUAACUAGGAACUUUUAUCACUUUAGGGAAAAACAAUUUUUGAAACUGUUUUCGGACGCGUUGAUAGAUUUAAAAUCAGGAAACUCCUUGGGUAAACUUUUCGAAUCAAAAUCACUUUUCAACUAAGCUUACGAGUAUUAUUUCUUAAAAACAGGUUUACUACUUUAGCAUUCUGUGCACCUUUUAUAAGUGACAAUAAAAGGUCUUAAUUUAAGGGUAAACUCAGUUCUGAAUACGCGAAAGCGACAAUUCAUGUUAAAUGGAUUCUUUUCAAGAGUAGAAAAUAUUUCCCCAUAAGUAGUUCUAUUUAGACAAUCGAAGCAUCGUUUAACUAACUUGAAAUACAUUCAAGCCUAUCUUUAUCUGCACUGUAUUUAUCAUUUUCUUUAUUUACUGUUAUUUUGCGACAUCAAUAUCUCAUUUGUACCGCCUUAGAUAAACAUCGUAACAAUAGUAAUUGAUAGAUUGACGAUAUGGUCUCUGUGGGAUCGAUAAUCUUUUAUAUUACUCUGAUGCAAUUCAUGCACUUGUGAAUAUAACGAUCAUUUAUAACUUAUCUCCACACUCAGAGAUCGUUGUAAGACCCCAAUUUUGACCCUAAGAUCCCUCGUGUUAUCUCAUCAUAUGCAUUAGCACUGGGAUCACACCUUGGCAUUCUCCUUACCCCUCAUUCAUUGGGUUUGCAUUGGGAGAGAUCACCAAGCACAUUUGAUUGUAUCAUACUUCAUUUUUAUUUGUUUAAUAAACAAAAUACCAAAAAUAUGUCAUUGUAUAGUUUAACUCUUUUGUAGGUAGAGUGUGUGCUCACCUAUACUCUAUCAAGCUCAUAUCUAGGGUUUAAGACCAUCAUUGCAAGGAGCUCAAUCAAGAAAUGGUUUACUAUGGCUCUAAGUAUCAUAUAUCGAUCCCCAUGAUCUCCACAUAUUAUUUUGAUCAAGAAAUCAUCAAGAGUUUGGAGUUGGUUUGCCUUGGAAACCCUAAUUCAUCUUGGUAUCUUGUGUAACUUCUUCAGCAAGUUUCCUCAACAAUUGAUCAAAUAUUUCAAGGUAUACUUCACAUUUCAUCAUAUUAUGCAUAUAUGAUCCUCCAUGAGUCCCAAAAUUCAAUAGAAUGUCAAGCUAGCAAGUUGGUUCAUGGUGGUUGACCAGAGAAAGUCAACUGGUCAAAACUGGGGUUCCCUAGACCAUAUCUCCAACAAUGUGUAUCAUAUGAAAAUAAUUAUAAUAGAAACGUUAUUCAAAAUGACAUUCCAAACAACUUUCAUGUUGAAGUCAAGAGCUAAUUUUUCUUUGAAAGUAUUUUUUUAUAGUGAAAGAUUAUAAGUCAUUUUGUCUAAACCCUAAUUUGAAGGUCAACUUCCCAAGACCAUAACUUGCUCAAUUUUUAAGAGAUGAAAUCCAUUCAAAUUGCAUGAUCAAAUUUAAUAUGUCUACUUAAACCUUUAGGUUUGGAGGAAGUGCAAAUCAAACUUGAAAAUGCAUGUGCCAAGAGAAAACAUUAUAGGUCAUUUUGGGCCAAUACCAUUGAACAAGUAAUUUUUCUCAACUUCUAAAAUGCAUAACUCCCUUAUGCCAAAUCAAAUGGGGACAAAUUUCUGACAAAAUUGAAUAGGUUUGAAAGAUCUACAACUUUUAUGAAGGAAGGUUUCUCAUUUGAAGUCCAUAGAAAAAGUUAUUCAAGGUGGAAGAAGUGAACAUAUGGCUUGGUACUUAGAUUUUUUUUAAUAUGUUUAAUUUCCCAAACUUCCACCUCAAAAUUAAUCAUGAUCCAAGCUUCAAAUGAAAAAGUGUUCAACAUGAAAGUGGUUCCACUUGAUCUCAACUUUCCAAAAAGUCCAAAAUCAUCUCAUUUAGACAAAGUAUGAGGUACUUUCACAUGGUUGAAAGUUGAAGCACCAUUUGGAUAUUUUCAAGGUCCAAUUUCCAUACACACUUGCCUAAGCUUCCAAGAUGAUUUCAGUACAUUGCACAUUGGAUUAUGGAUCAGAUGCCAUCAUUUCAUGGGCCUCAUGCACGCCCAUGCAACCAUGUAAAGAGGAUUUUGAAAUUUUUGUCAAAAUUGGAAGUGUGCAAAUAUCAUUCUCUAUGGCUAUAAAUAGAACGUCUCAUGCUCAGAAUUGAGGACCUCAUGCCCAAGCUUUGAUUCAGAAACCCCAAACCCUCACCAUUGAAGGAUAAACUUGAGGAUUUUCUUUGAAAAUCGAUUUUCAAUUCUCCAUCUGUUUUGGGAUUGAAACUUCAAGAGUCCAUCCCUUUCUCUGAUCUAUUUCUCUUCCAUCAAGCAUCUGAAGCGAGGCCAAGAAUAAUUGGAAGCAAUAUCGUUCCAAUCUGAAGCUCCAUUGAAGGUGAAUUUUUAGAUUUUUCAUCUCUUCAAUUCUCACUUAAUUCUCCAUAAUUCUUGUUGAUUUUUGGUUGUCUGAAGUCCUACCAAUGUAGGCAAGAAGAUUGAGUAACUUUGAGGUCAAAUCGAAGAAACUCAGUUCAUGAUCCUCAAAAUUCAAUUCCCUGUAUCUUUUCAUAUACUUGGAAUUAGACAAAAUUGAGGUCAGAUUCAAGCUCCUGGGCAUUUUUCCUUCAAAAUAGUUUUCCAUUUUUCUUUGAGUUGAACUUGGACCAGUCCGGUGGUCCUCACCGGAGAAGAUGACCGGAGCUAGGGCUCCGGUGGUGUGUUGGCUUGUCUAGAACCCUUUGAUCUGAGUCCCACUUUCUAAUCUCAACCAUCCAAAGUGAUUACCACACAUGUAUUUUAUUUGACUAAGGAACACAUAGAACGCGCGCUUUGGAUCAUCUGAUUUGCCACCUCAAUUAAUGAGGAAGAUCAGAUGGUCCACAUUUUUUUGAAUUUCUAUUAAUUUCUUUUAAUUACUUUAUUUUCAUUAAUUCAUAUUAAUUUCAUUAUUGAUCCAAAAAAUAUGGGACUUUCACCAAAAAUUUUCAAAUAUUUUCCUUUUCAUUUUCUGAAUUAAAAUUAUUUUUUGGACCAAUAUUGAUAUUUUUCAUGAUUUAAUUGUUUUUAUGCAAAUUUUUAAUUAUUUAAAAAUACUUCUGACUUUUCAAAAAUAGUAAAAAAAAUUCUCCAAGUCCUUUGACCUUGUUUGACCUAUGAUAAAUCUCUUGGCCAUUUAUUUGGUGUAUUUUAAGAGGUUUUAGGUUUUUGACAAAACAUAAUUUAAUUUUAUGCAUUUUUAAUUGAUUUUUAAUUUGUUUAAUUGAAAAUAAAUUAUGUUGAGCCAUAUUUAUUGACUUGUGAAGUUUGACUAUUGUGUUUGGGCCUUGGUCAAGGUUGAUUUGACUUUUGUUGGAUUAAAAUAAUUGGAUUUAAGGGAUUGAUGAAAUGUAUAUUUCAUCUCCCAAAAUGAAUGAAUGAUUUUAAUUUGAUAAAAUUCCUCCCAUGACCAAUUUGUGUUUGUCUCAUUCCCCUUCCCUCUUCAUCUUCAAUCCCUUUCUAUCCCAUUCCUUUCAUUGACAUUUGACAUCUUAAUAUCCUAAGGCUAAUUGGUUCAUGAACCAAUACAAGUAUGAAUUAGAUUAGGUCCACCCUUUGAUCAUUUUCUUUGUGUGUGGUAUAUUAGGAGUAUGGUUCAUUAUACCACAUCUCUAACAUGCAUUCACACCAAAAUUUCUAUUUCCCCGCCUCAGAUAGUUGGGACUUCUACAUAAAUCCAAUUACAAUUGCUUAACAUAGCGCUCAAUUUUGACCCAAAGGCAUAUCAUUCUAGUAAGUGAGAUUGUAAGUCUCCCCCCUUUCAUGGUAUUGUAUGGAAACUUGGCCUUUUUUUCUUCCUUUGGAAGAUGUCUUGGUUCAAGGAUCCAUGCUUGUGAAUAGAGGGUUGAGUGUUCUCCAAAGAAUGACUUAAACAAUUGAAAAAGCAAAACUUCACUAACUUCUAAUCAACUAACUUUUGACUAACUUUUAAUUUCAAGUCAUUUACUUUUAUGCACUUUAAAUUCAAGUCUUUUAUCAUUUUCCAUUAUACAUAUCAUUUAACUUGUUUAUGUUUAUGUCAUUUUCACUUUGCCCACUUGAGCCAUAUAUUGUGUUUGUAUAUAUUUGUUUGUAUAUUUUGUUUGUGUUUGUGGUCCUAGGACCUUAAAAUACUUAAUAAACUAAAAAAACCCUAAAAAGUGUUUGUGUGGACUGUUGGAUUAUUAUUUGAGCUUUGGACUUAGAAUUAGGCAACAUUCCCUAUGCAAAAAAACUUGGCCAAUGCCAACUUUUCUGAAGUCGAGUUUGUAAUUGAACUUUCAUCUGAUACAAUUAUUGAAAUCCUUAUGAGUUCAUCUUCUACAUGGUCUUGAUGUAAAUGUUACUUUUAACCUGUGUCUAAUGCCUUAUUCUGAGCCAUUCAAGGAGUAUGUCAUCUGAUACAUGGGAGCUUAAGAAGGAGACUAUGGAGUUGCUUGCUUGGAUGUGGAUAUCUUUAUUUGAUGCCUUGCUCUUCAUCUUGCUUGCUUAUUGAUAUUGCUUGACUUUAAAGUCCAAAGGAAAAGUGGGUUUCUAUAUGACAUUCUUGUCUAUUGGAUUGCAUCCCAUUGGUCAUAUCUUUUCAACUCUUAACUUUUAAAUUGUUGAUUAGGAUUAGUCUCUUCAUCUCCUCUCACUUCUUAAAUUUAAAAUCUCUCCCUCUUUUCAAAAACCUUCUUUGCUUGUGAUUUCUAAACUUAGACUUUAUUGCAAAUUAGAAACCUUGACCUUACGCCAUUGCGUUUUUAAACUCUUUCUUAAAACAAACUUGUAAAUGAACUUAAUUAUAUUGACUUAAAUUUUCAAAAGACAAAAAGAACUAACACCUAUUCAAACUCUUUUAGGCCCUUUGUGCCUCUCUUAACUUAAUUUUGAUUAAAAGUAAUCCACUCAUUUUGAAAUUGAUACCACGAACUACGAGGUUUUGAUCCCUCAUUUUUAUGUUGGUACAUAGGCACAAGUCCUAAGGUCUUGUCAAUCACAAAAAUAUAAUUAAUGAAUUCUUUUCUCAUCCCCACACUCUAUUUAUUGCAAACAUCAUUUUAUACCAAAACACAUACACAGAUAAAAAAGGGCUUCCUAGGAGUACCUGGGACACUUUGGGUGCUAACACCUUCCCCCUGUGUAACCAACCCCCUUACUUGUAAUCUAUGGCAUUUUAUUAGUUUUGAUUUGAAAGAUUCUUAUCUUUGGGUUUUGUUCGUACUUUUCCCUUCUCCUUUGGAAACAAUAAAAGCGCAGUGGUGACUCUGGUUUUAUUGACGUUAAGUUUAUCCAUAGCUUAAUGGUCAUGAAUUUACCGUUACAGAAAUUAAGUGGUAACUCUGCUGGGGAGUAGUCCUCAGUGGGUUUAGCUUACUUUUUUAUAUGCAUAUAAUUGUAUAUUUGUUGUUUGUAUAUUUGUUUGUAUGAUAUAAUCUGCUUGUUGUGCUUGGUGAUAUCUGAGUGGUGAGAUAAGUUCUAAUCCGAACUUGAGUGCAAUUAAGAUAUGAGGAUGGUAUAGUCAUGUUUGACUUGUGCGGAGUAGUCCUUAACAAGUUGGCUUGAGACCCAUCUACUCAGUGGAAACCCUUUUGGAGUUAUUGAUGUCACACAAGUUAUUUGUGUUUAGGCGUUACUUUCUCUGAUUUGGGGUCGGAGAAGCUGAGGACCGUAGAACAUUUAACCCAACUUGGCCUAUUUAGGACGUAGUGCAAAGACUGUUCAAGUGUAGACUUGAUAACAGUUGUUACGCGAUACUACACUCAAACGAGUUUCUCUUGAGAAUAUUAUGGGUUGUUGAGUCAGUCAUCCUAACACAUAUAAUCCGAUGAUGGAAUUAAGACUCUGGGAACUUUUUAGAACAUGAUCUACAAGUUUUAUCCUUAGUACACUCCUUUGGGAUGGUUCUUAACCCAACUCCAUGCUCGUGACUCACAACAAACCCUUGAUUCUUGGUUGAUCCAAUCAAGUCUUGUCAAUAUCAAUGGAACUUGGGUGUUGGUAAGGUGAAAAACAUAAUCCACAAAAAUGGAUGAUUGAUCUUGAUAAUGUCUUGAUUCAUCCCUUGCCCUUUGUUUGUUUUCCUUGUGUGUGAUCCCUUAUUUGUGAUUGUUGCAUUCAUGCAUUCAUGCGUAUCAUGACAUUCAUCACAGAAAAAAUAACUUCAAGGAACUGAGGUUUUAUUUGCAAAUAUUUUUAGACCAUGGAUUAUGGACGAAGGAACACUAAGAAGUACAAUUUCAAAUGUCUCGACUUGAAAGAGUUAAGGAAGCUAUCAUCUUUUGUAUUAUAUCCCUUGGACUUCAAGAAACGUAAUGGGAAGCUUCCAUCUGUAUUAUCUGCUGAUGUGGUCGAAGGACUCUUAAGUGUGUUGGUUCAGUUUUAUGAUCCUCUCUACUGUUGCUUCACUUUUCUCGAUUAUCAGCUUAUGCCUACAUUGGAAGAGUAUGCCCAUCUUUUGGGAGUACCUGUUGAUCGGAAAAAUAGCAAGUGUACUAUUUUUACCGAUGUAGUAAUAAGGAGUUUUAUUUCCAAGUAUCGAUCUCAAGGAUUGCGUAGGAAUUACUUAUUUUAAUUUGAUUCUAUUAGAACAAAAAAAGAUAAUGGUUUGGUGUUUUGGAAUUUAGAAUCGUAAACACAGAAAUAGUAAAAACAAUUGAAUUAGAUAAAAGAUGCUAGGGUGAGUGGUUGAAGUAAACCGGUUAUGAAUUCAGUCCCGAUUUCCUUAAUACAUUGAACAUUCAAUCCCUAACCUCGAUGAUUCUUACUUAAGUCCUUAAGGAAGAACUANCACCAUACUAAUGUCGGAUUCCGAACAAAAUGACCAUUGAUCGCUCAAAGGAAAACAAUCAUUUAGUGUUUGAAUGAACGAAACAGAAACAGUAUAUCACAUAUACCGUACUUUGCAUUUAGUGAUACUUAUAUCAUAUAUAAGCUGAUCGGUCUCCAAUUGCGUAACCUAUGGACGAUCGAUGUUCGCUGCUUCACCAUACAUUCCAUGAUCGCGAUACCGGUACCGAGCAUAGUCAACAUCAAUCAUCCAACUUAUACACUCAUGAUGCCAAAUUUAAUUACCCGUUUAAUUAAUUGAUUCAUUCUGUCCUUUAAUCAUAUUAAUACAGAAAUUAAACAGCUAUCCGAUUCAUGGUUUCGUUAAUCAGGCUCUAAUACCACUGAAGGAGAAUUUGCGGGUCCAAAACGCAGCGCAAACUAAAAAUUUCUCCUUAGAGAUCCUUACGAAUGGUCAUGAUCAGUGAUAGAAUAUUUACCUCGGUGUGACGAUUGAAACCUUUGGUGCAGAUCUCUUGUGACAAUCAAAACCUUUGAUGCAGAUCCACGGAAACGAUCACGAACGUGGAAACGAUGACAACGUCUCUACUCAGUCCACACGAACGGGUUCCUUCAAUCUCAGUGCUAGCUGGUACGAAUGAAGGCUUUGAGUGAAAGAGAGAGUGAGAAAAACGAAAAUAAUGCAACCGCAAUGAAUGCUUCUGCCACAAGAGGUUCUAUUUAUAGAACCACUUGUGUGGGCUUCAAGCUAAAAGCCCACUUAAGUGUAUUUGGCCCAUAUCUUUAAUAUGCCCAAAAUCACUUAAGCCCAUGGUACCUUACCAUAUUUCCAUAUUCUACUCAAGUACAUCGUACCUUAUUGUGUUCUAUUAAUUCACUUAAGGGCACCUAGCUACCACACCGUAUUCCUUAGUUACUCUAUCUCUCAUCAAUCCGUCCUUGUGUGUGACCCUGUAGAGUUUUUCGUGACGUUGGCAAUUAUAUAAAUCACGCAUUUAACAUAAUAAACAGUGAGCGGUAUCUAGCAACACAUCACUGCUACCCAAGACACGAAAAUUGUCAUGUGAUCUGACAAACCUUCUGUGAUAAUAAUUAUGUGUAUAAUUACCUUUUGCCCAUGUCUUAUAUUGAACACAAGGCAUAGACCGUGUCAUCCUUGUCCAGUUCAAAUAUUGGGCCAUAGACAUUUAUCCUGUUAUGCAGGAUGGGCAAAUUCCAUCUAGGUCCACAUGUCCUCAGCAUGCUUGUGGAGUACCCAUCAACUGUCUUUAUGGUUAUCCAGUUACGGACAACGUUGGAUCAACAAUAAAGCACUCGACUCUACAUCUAGGAUCCAUAGUGGUUUCAGGUCGAAGAGUGGAAUACACUAUUAUCACCAUGAGAAUAACUUAUGAUACUUUGCAUAACUUUCUAUAUAGUAUUCUCAUAGCGGGUCAAUCUGGUAUAAAUAUUACUCCUAAUAUUCAUACCUAUGUUUAAGACUUGAUAACCUCUUUAUCCAUGAUCCAUUAGAUGUGAUCAUCAGUCUACAAACAUAAUAGUCUUAAUGCUUUAACGUUAUCCCACUUCACACUAAAGCUCGACUACGGAUACUUUAAGAAUAGUGUCCUUAUGUUAAUGUGUUCUCAUGAUUAAGUCACACUUAAUACAUUAAACGGACUAGCUAUUCUAGGGACUUUAUUAAACAAACGUAAUAAAGAAAAGCCUUUUAUUAUUCGAUACAAGUACCAAAAAGUAUUGGCCUCUAGGGCUUACACCAACAGACCACCCGGCGGUGUUGGUCCCCAUAGUCACUGAGGAGUCUCUCUGGUGGUGAUGGAUUAGCAGCCAUGAUUUCAGGAACUGUUUCCGUGUCUGAAUCUGAAUUCUCUGAGUGCACUGAAACAACUUCUUCCUCUGCUUUCUUUCUCUCUAAUGUCCAGUUUCUUUCUCUAGUUGUGCUUGUCUGAGUCUCGCGCGGGUGUUCUUUCCGAUUGCGUCAAAAAAAAAAUCGCUGAGAACUUACCUCGCUAAACAAUGUAGACAAAGAUUAAAUAUGAAUAACAAAAUUGUCACAGAUAAAAUUUUAGUUGGCGAGCAACAAAGUUUCGAUAGAAUAGAAAUAAAAUAUGUAGUUUGGCAAUCCCCGGCAACGGCGCCAAAAAACUUGAAUCGCGAAUAGCAAGUGUACUAUUUUUACCGAUGUAGUAAUAAGGAGUUUAUUCCCAGUUAUCGAUCUCAAGGAUUGCGUAGGAAUUACUUAUCUACUUAAUUGUUUCAGUUAUCAAUACGAACAAAAGAUAAUGGUUGUGGUGUUUUGGAAUUUAGAAUACGUAACACGAAAUAGUAAAAAUAAUUGAUUAAGAUAAAAGAUGCUAGGGUGAGUGGUUGAGUUAACCGGUUAUGAAUUAGUCCCGAUUUCCUUAAUACAUAUGAUACAUUCAAUCUCCUAACCUCAGAAUGUUCUUACUUAAGUCCUUAAGGAAGAAACUAUUAAACUACAAUUCUUACUCAAAUGUCCAUUCAAUUAAUCAUUGGUUUUAAUCAUACAAAAUAUCAAGGUUACGGUGAUUUAUGAAAGGUUAUAGUCCUAGAUGAUGCAUUCAUAAACCCAAUGUGUGUGAAAACCCUACCAAUCACAAUCUCGUUAUUGGAAGUCAUAGAUUAAUUCGUAUUUGUCCGAUACAAAAACAUAAUAACAUCACCACACAAUUGAAUUGAAAUACGUAACAUAGUAAUUAAGAAAUCAUAGGUUCAAAUUCAUAACAUGUGAUAACAUCAGGACCACCCCCCUAGCAUCAGGGGGUUUAGCCUCUCAUAGUACUUAAAGAACUCAUAAAAUAAAGAUUAGACAUUACAAGGAAUUAGGAGAGUUUGAUCUUCAAUGGUUGAUACCCUUGAAUCUCGCCGUCUUCAAAUCCGUCGUAUUCGCUAUCUUCUCCACUGCAAUGCUUUCGUUCGUCUGUCAAAAGGUGUGUUCUUCUUUCUCUUCCAAGCCUUCUUAUAGCUUCAGAUGACUCUCUUCCAAGCUAAAGGUCUAAACUACCCUUAAUGAGCAGAAUCGGUUCACACAGCAAAAAUUAGGUUUUCCAAGCUGCGUUCAAUCAACACGGCCGUGUUGUGGCACACGGGCGGCCGUGUUGUUCUUCAAUAUUAAUUAUUUUCAGCAUAAGUUACAAUGGCAACAACACGGGCCGUGUCCCUACACACGGGUGCCCGUGUUAAUGCACUGUUUUAAUCAACACGGCCGUGUGGUGGCACAUGGGUGGCCGUGUUGAUCUCUGUUUUCUGCUCCCUCUCUGCUCUGCUUGAUCAACAACACGGGCAGUGUUGUGGCACACGGGUGCCCCACAACUGGACAACAAAAGAGUAUAAAAACAGGAAGUCUCAGUCCAGAACUUCACCAUUCUUGCUUUUAAACCUGUAACAAUAACACUACCAAACGAAGCAUAAACGAGAUCUUUUUGACAUAAACUUGUAAUCGAAUGCAAUGCGAUACCAAACCAACAAAACAUUAUAAAUGACUCCAAAGCAACUGAAAACAAACAUAAAUAUUACCAAAGUGAUGAAAAUAUGUCGGAUUAACGGCGGGAAUUCAAUGGAAAUGGUGACCGAUCAGUCAGUCAAGUGGAAUAGGGUCCCUCAUUCUGGACCCCCACGCCUUCUUUGUCUUGAGCUCACCCAGGCCAAGGUUAAGAGCUAUGAGGUCUAACCCUCAUUACCUUUCAUCUUCUCACCCCCGACGGUCAAUGUCAGUGGUUAAGAGCCUCAGACACCCCUUCCAGUGUUGGCUUGUUUGUCGAGGUUGAUAUGACCCAUUGACUAAAGCCCAGCCUUGUAUGAGCCGCUUGUUUGCAUAUAGUGUGUGAUACCUGCUCACCUGUGAUGUUUACUUGCUAUUUAUUUGUUGUUUCAACUUGCUUCCUGUGCGAGUUAGGAUCUGUUUAGAUACCCCAACCUAGGACUAUUGUGGAUUGCAUGACAACUAUUAGGCUCGAGUCAGUCUCCCUUUUAGUUAGUUAUUCCCCGGUCUCUGGUUAGGAGAAAGUUUCUCCCCUGUUAAGGGGAACUACAUCGCCCUGAUCCUCAUACCAGAUGAGGUACGUAGGCAAGAGAUCGUGCGAGAUCUCUCCGGACGCCCUUUUUCUUUUUUGUGUGUGUUUUGCUUGACAGCUAUUAGGUCCGAGUUCCCGACUCCCUUUUAGUCUGUGUGUUCAACUUCUUUGUUUCUUCUAACGUCUCAACAUCUUCUUGGUGUUUGCUUGACAGCUAUUAGGCUCGAGUGCCAGACUCCCUGUUAGCUUAUCUGUUUGAUAACCUUUUUGCGUGUGUUUGGAGUCGGAUGUAAGACCAGCCAUUGGCAUUCCAUUUCCUUAUUUGUGUUUGUUGUUCGGAGUCGAACGUAAGACCAACCAUUGGCAGUCUGUUUCCUUUGUGUGUUUCUUUUGACGUCUCAGCGUCUUUGUGUUGUGUUUUGUUUCGGCGUGCGUUAGCCGAACUACGACAUCUUUGAUUCUCAUUCCAGAUGAGAUACGUAGGCAUAGGAUGCGAUAUCCUAGCGAGCCCGUUCCCCAUUUCCCCCUGAACUACGUCGACUCUGAUGUUUGUUUCUGACAAACUACAUAGGCCCAGGAUGCGACAUCCUGCCGAGUCCGCUUCCUCCGUCUUCUUCCAUCUGUGUUUUAUUCCAGUGUGUGUGUGUGCAUUCUUUUGAGCAGUUAUUUAGCAACCUUAUUCUAUUCUCUUGAGCGUGGAUCCCGUCGAGUACGUGCCUGCACUCCCCACGAUUAUGGAAGGGGAACGCAUUGGCUCUCCCGUACCUUGUAAUCUCCGGUCGUAAGACCAUUCCUUUCCAGGUUUACUUCGAGCGUUUCCUUUCCCUCCUUUGGGAUAAAUAAAGCACGGUGGCGGCUCUGUUUUUUUCCGCCGGUUGUUUUUCGCGUUGCGACAGCUGGCGACUCUGCUGGGGAUAUAGAAGUUGACCUAUUGCUGGUCCAUCUUCCCUAAGCGAGUCAAUCCUAGCGCUCCCUAGGAUAGUUUUGGUUGCUUUUGCUGCUCUAUUUAUUGCAUUUAUGAUUAUUGUACUGUGAUUGUAUAUAUUUGCAUAUAUGUUUGCAUGCAUCAUAUUAUCAUUGUGCUGGAUUCUGUACAGGUUUCGUUCCUCUGGUUUGGGGUGGGUGUUCUGAGUGGGGCUAAAACCCAGGCCCGAGUAUACACCUAGGAUUAGCGUGGUCUCACGUUCCUCACAUGUUAGGUUGACAUGAUUGUUGCGACGUGACAUACCACAAGCCGGACGAGGUUCUUCUGAGAGGGAUCUUCCUUGUGGAGUUUCCACUAUGGUUGAGUUUUAUCUCUUUGGAGCUGUUGACUUCGGUGACCGUUCUUUCCCGGAUCUUUGGGUUAGACGAUCUUAUGAGAGCUGCAACGGCACACCCGAAAGGGCAAACCCGUUGAGUAUCUUGUCCGAUUGUCGAGACCAUUAUCCGCCUUCGGCACACCCGAAAGGGCAAACCCGUUGAGUAUCUUGUCCGAUUGUCGAGACCAUUAUCCGCCUUAGGAUGACCUUGUUAGAAUUCACCUGUGAGGGGAGGGUUGAUUCCUACAGAUGCAUGUUCUGUUCGUGACUAUUUGAUGGUGACUCUGGUUCAGUUGGAUCAUGGAUAUUUAUUUCUGAGACGCCGGAGUUCUGUCCGUGGUAUUUAUCAGUGGGGAUCCGUUUAUUUCAGGAUUCCCUGGGUUGAUACAAAUGAUUUUGUUGUUAUCAGAUCGGUGAUUUUCUGGUGAUGAUGGUGAUAUGUCCUCUGGUUCCGUUUAUUUCGGAACCUCCGAAGGUGGAUUUAUGGUUAAUCAGUUCCCUCAGAUGGUUGUGAUCAGUUCAGAGACCGGAAUCCAGUACAGUUGAUGAUCAGAUGACUUGGAGGAUGGCACAGUGCAUUGCAUUCAUGCAUUAGCAUCAUUCACAUUUUGCAUUUAUCCGCAUCUAACUCAUGUUUAUCCAUAUGCAGGGUACAUUCUUGAUCGAGAUCCUGGUUGAGAGACAUCCUUGUUCCAGAUAUGAGGACUGACUUGAAAGCUGAUGUUGUAUACAGUUUCUUCAAUCCCGAGAUCAGCGUGUUAAAGGGUAUGAUAGCAUUGAUCACUCCUGACCAUGUGAGGAUGUUCCGUGAGGCUUAUGGUGGUAUUCUGAGGAUGGUUUUCAGGCUUACAGAUAGGGAUAGAGACGCCAUCCAUACUCUUCUUCAGUUUUAUGAUCCUAGUUUGAGGUGCUUUGUCUUCCCGGAUUAUUUGUUGGGACCUUUGAUGGAGGACUAUGCCGGCAUCCUGGGUAUUCAGAUCAGAAACCAGGCUCCCUUCUUUGCCACUAAGGAAGAACUAGAUGUGGGUGAGAUCUCGCGCUCUUUAUUUGAGCCAGGAAGUGACUAAGGGAGGUUUGAAGGAGAAGGGAAAGUUGCCCGGUUUUCACUUGAGUUUCUUGGAGGCUAAAGCCAAGGAGUAUGCUAUUUUGGGUAAUUGGAGGGUCGUUUGUGCUUUGCUUGCUGUGAGCGUUUAUGGAAUCAUCUUGUUUCCUAAUCAGAAGAAUUUUGUAGACAUUAAUGCCAUCCGGGUGUUCGCUCAGAGGAAUCCCAUUCCUACUUUGGUGGGGGAUGUCUAUUACUCGGUCCAUAAUCGGAAUGAGAAGCGGUGUGGGGGAUUGAUUAGGUGUUGUGCUCAUUUGUUAUACAAAUGGUUUGUGGGGUAUUUGCCUGCCAGAGGUGCCUUUGUUCUUCUUAACCAUACUGUCAGCUGGGCAACCAAGUUGAUGGGUUUGCGAGCCAAGGACAUAGCUUGGACUCACAUCGAUGAGGCUGGACGAGAUUUCAUUUGCAGCUGCGGGAGUUUUCCUAAUGUGCCUCUUAUAGAAGUUCAAGGGUGUAUCAGUUAUAACCCGACACUUCUUAAGUGACAAAGGGGAUUUGCUAUGGAGGUUCCUCCUCUCGAGUAUGAGAUUCAGGACUCUUGUUACUUCCCUAUUGAGAGUAACCGGUCAGCAUUGGAGAUAGUGUCUGAGGCGUGGCGUAAUAUUCAGAGGAAAGGCAAGACUCCUUUUGGUAGAGCUAAUAGUAGGUAUUUUCCUCUGUUUGAUGAUUGGCUCAGAAGGAGAGUUGAGCUCACUCAUCUACCAUUUCCUGUGGGUGAUCUUUGGUAUCCGCUGAUUGAGGAAUCCCGUUCUUCUGUCAGUAUGGAAGAGUUCCUUGAGAUGAAGAGGGAGAGAGAUCAGCUGCAUGCAGAGAAGACUGAGCUGGAGAUGAGUGUUGCUAGGACUCAAAUGGCUAAUCAGGAAAUCAAAGGGAAAAUAGAAGACCAGGAUAAGAGACAUGCUCUUGCGGUGAAGCGUUUUGAGAUAGAUACCGCUUAUUAUGGCAAGAUCAGCGAAGCUUUAGAGUCAUCCACGAGGGAGCAUGAUAUCACCAAGGAGAAGUUGGCUAGAGCUUUGAAGGUCAUUGAGGAUGAGAAGAGAAGACAAAUCCUUGUGAAGACUCAGAGGGAAGCUAGAGCCAAAGUCCUUACCACAGAAUGGGAAGCGGAGAAAGUAGACAAAUCCUUGUGAAGACUCAGAGGGAAGCUAGAGCCAAAGUCCUUACCACAGAAUGGGAAGCGGAGAAAGCGAAGAUUAUGGCUGAGAGAGAUCAUUAUCUUGCUGAGAGGGACCAUUAUUUCCGACAGAUGAAGAUUUACCAGAAGGAGGUGGAAAGACUGCAGCAAGAGAACACUGAGCUCAGGUUCGCUGUGAAGUUUACCAGGAUGGUUGAUGAUGCAGGGCCUUCUGUGGGACCUUCUUCAUAUUAGACUUUUGUUGUUAUGUGUGGAUUAUCGUCAAGCCUGUUGACGGAAUUCACUUGCUUGUAUUUCCUUUCUGUUUCUGGAGAAUUGUGAUUUGAUUUGUAUCAGACUUGAUGUAUGACUCUUGCACGUAUAGUGCACUUUUGAUAUACAGUGGUUAUUAUCAUUCAUUGAUUGAUCUCAGAGCUUUAUUUGCUUUGCCAUGCUUCACUGACACAACACACACAUGGUCGGGUGAUAUCUUUGCUAAAUCAUAACUCUCUGCUUUGUAUGGAGAAACCAGAUGAUUGAUGUCAGAAUGUUGCUGGCAAAUUAUUAUCUGUCUCAAUGAAACCAGGAUCGAAAGACAGAGUGUUCCUCAUAUGGAUAGACAUUGCAUUCAUGCAUGAAUCAUAAUAACUUGUCUUCUAUUUUGCAGGUGUCGGAUUCUAACGUGCUUGAUUGUUUCAGGAAUCAUUGCUCGCGCACGUAGAAUCAUUCCUUUGCACGUAGCACGUCCACACAGAUACCCUACCAGGCGCAACAAAUCCAAACUGAUGGAUGCAUCCAACGCAGAUAUUCUCGAGCUGAAAGAGAAGAUGGGAGAGUUGAUCAACGUUAUGCAAGGGUUCGCCUUGGGGCAGAAGGUACUUGUUGAGAAAGUGGAAAAGCUCGAGCGGGCUUCGGCUGCCAACAGUGGUAAUAAUCUAGAGGGCGUUUCCAACGACGGUCUCGGUGGUUCUAGGGAUGGUGGGGAUCCCAGAAGGAAGACUACUGCUGAUGUGGUGAUCAAUAACGGUGGAGGUUUUGGUUUCGCUGCAGGUGGUGGACCAGGUCCUAUGGGCAAUAAUCUGAAGGAUAGUCAGUUUCCUCCUUUCUUUGAAGCCCUAGAAGAUAAAGAAGCGGAUCAGUUCUCCAUGCUGAAUGAGCAAUUUGGUCAGUAUGGUGUCCAACCGCCAAACAAGGAGAUUCAGGCACUGGCAGAGAAGAUAAGGGCUUUGGAAAGCUAUGCUACUCCCGGGGUUGUCAACAUGUCAAACAUGGGGCUGGUUGAGGGGAUUGUGAUCCCACAGAAGUUUAAAGCGCAUGCGUUUGAUAAAUAUAAUGGGAGUUCCUGCCCGGAAACUCAUCUCCAGGCUUUCGUCCGAAAGAUUUCUGCUUAUACGAUGGACCAGAAGCUUUGGAUGUACUUCUUCCAGGAUAGCUUAUCUGGUGGAUCUCUUGAGUGGUACACCAAGUUGAAGUCGUCGGAUAUCAAGAGCUGGCAGGAUCUGGGAGAUGCUUUCUUUAAACAAUAUCAAUUCAAUGCUGACAUGGCUCCUAGUCGUACCCAGCUGCAGGGUAUGUCUCAGAAGCCAAAUGAAGGGUUUAAAGAAUAUGCACAGAGAUGGAGGGAGUUGGCUGCUAGAGUUCAACCUCCGUUGGUAGACCGGGAGAUGUCUGAUCUCAUUAUGGGUACCCUUCAGGGGACGUUUGCAGAAAGAAUGGUGGGAUGCCCGGUUACCAACUUUGCAGACAUAGUGGUGGCUGGGGGGUGGCUGGGGAGAGAAUAGAAAGCUGGUUGAAGAUGGGAAAGAUACAGGGUAGUGUUUCGUCGUCUGGAUCGAAGAAGCCAUUUGGGAACAGUUAGCGAAAGAAGGAGGGUGAUACAAGUGUUGUGUAUGCCCAGAGGGGACAAGGUAGGGAUCGUUACUACCAGCACACUGCUGCGGUAACAAUUCCUGCUGAUAAUCAGCCUGCACAACAACAACAACAGCAACAGCAACGACAGCCAUUUCAACAAAGACCACAGAGGGCCGGGUAUCAGGUGAGAGGACGAAUGACUGAUCGUCAAUUUGAUAGGCCACCUGUGACAUACUCAUUCUUGCUGAAGAAAUUGAAGGAUUUGGGGUUGGUUCAGCUGAGAACAUUGGCUCCGUUGAGACCAGACCAGAGGCCUGCCAACUAUGAUGAAAACGCCAAGUGCGAGUUCCAUUUGGGUGCCCCUGGACACAAUGUGGAGAAUUGUAAAGCUUUUAAGCAUGUGGUCCAGGAUCUGGUAGACUCUAAGGCUAUCAAUUUUGCACUAUCUCCAAAUGUGAAUGCUAAUCCCAUGCCAGCGCAUGGUCAGAUGGGGGUAAAUGCAAUUUCUGAGGAUAGGAGAGCAAUUGGGUUGAUGAAUGUGGAUCAGUUGAGGACUCCAUUGGCUGAGGUCAAGAGACAACUGUUGAAGAAUGGGGUCUUCCCGGGUUGUGAUGAUUGUUGUGCUGCGUGCACCGUUGCUCCUGAUGGGUGUGUUUUAUUGAGGGAGGCUGUCCAGAGGAUGAUGGAUGAGGGAGGCCUCAAAUUUGAGAAGGUUGAUUUGGGGAAGGAGGAUGUCUCCACCAUAACCAUAUAUUUUGAUCCGAUCCAUUUGUCAGCGCUGGCAGACGCAGCUCCGGUUACCAUCACGGUACCUGGGCCAAUUCCUUAUGACAACGAUAAUGAUGUACCAUGGGAUUAUGGUGGAGAGGUUUAUUGUAAUGGGGAGAAUCAGGAAGAUCAGGCUGCAGGUGAAACCGCCGUUUCAAAGGUGGAUAAUGCCGGACCCAGUGGUUUCACUCGCAGUGGAAGGUUGUUUGCACCCGACACAUUGAGGAGUGGGGAUGGAGAAAAAGAAAAGAAAGAUAAGGCCGAGGCUUUAGCCAGGGCAAGAGGGAAGCAGGUGGUAAGAGAGGGUACUCCUGUAGUGACACCGGCGCCUGUUGGGUCGGAAAAAGAACUUGAUGAUGAAGCUGAGGAAUUUCUGAGGAUCAUCAAGAAGUCAGAGUAUAAGCUUGUUGACCACUUGCAGCAGACACCGUCUAAGAUUUCAAUAUUGUCAUUGUUGUUAAGCUCCAAGGGGCAUAGAGAGGCUUUGUUGAAAAUAUUGAAGAGAGCCUAUGUUCCCCAGGAGAUAACUAUCAAUCAGUUGGAGACAGUGGUGUCUAAUGUUAAUGCCAGCCAUGGGCUAGGUUUCACUGAUCUUGAUUUGACUGUAGAUGGGCGUAAUCAUAACAGGGCAUUACACAUUUCCAUGGAGUGUAAAGGAGCAAUGUUGUCGCACGUCUUGGUGGAUACCGACUCAUCGCUCAAUGUGUUGCCUAAGAAGGCCCUGGCAAAGCUGGAUUGUGAAGGGGUGAUCUUGAGGCCUACUGACCUGGUAGUUAGAGCAUUUGAUGGCUCUAAAAGGGCUGUGUUUGGGGAAGUGGAGCUCCCUGUGAAGAUCGGGCCCGAGGUGUUUAAGUCUGUAUUUUAUGUCAUGGAUAUUCAGCCGGCAUACAGUUGCCUGUUGGGUCGCCCGUGGAUACAUGCUGCUGAGGCAGUGACUUUGACUUUGCACCAGAAAUUGAAGUAUAUCUGGGAUGGGCAGGUCGUCACAUUUUGCGGAGAGGAAGACAUCUUCGUCAGCCACUUGUCAUCGUUCAAGUACGUGGAAAUGGACGGUGAGAUAUUUGAAACACCAAGUCAAGCAUUUGAAACCGUUAAGGUGGAGAAUGCUAUCUUUGCCAAGGAGGAGAAGAAGUCGUCCAUUUCUUCGUAUAAGCAUGCUGCUGAGGUGGUGAAGUGUGGAGAAGCCCCAGGUUGGGGAAGGAUGAUCAACAUCGCCGCCAAGGAAGACAGGUUUGGGGUUGGUUAUCAGUCGAGCCGAGGCUCGUCUGGGCAGAAUAAGGGACGUCGUCCGCCAUUCACGUUCACCAGUGCUGGAAUGCUAGAUCCAGACCGCAUCUGUAUGGUGGGUGAAGAGGUUGACAGUGACUUUGAGGUUGAUCAGUGGAUAAAAUUGUGCGUACCAGGGAUGGAGAUCCAGAACUAGAAGGCUGAAAAGAUCAUCACUGUCACUCUACGUGAAGAGUAAUAUUUCUUGUUUUUCAAUUCUGUCUACAUGAAAGCCAUACGUUUUGCCCGAAACGUAAUGGUUCAUUGUAAGGGCCACCUCAUGUGUUUCAUUUUGCAAUGUUUGCAUCAGUAAUAAAAGGAUGUUUUUCAUUAAAAGCGAUGUUCCCUGUUUUUCACUUAUUUUUGCAGUUUUAAAAAUAAUAAUAAUAAAAAUGGCAAUGUUUGUUUUCAUUUUCCUUUUUAAUUUGCUUUGCUCCGGUUCUAAAGCAACGCAUGAAUCAACAUUCAUGCAGAUGCGAGCAUUCUCCGGAUCUCAUUGAUAACAAUUCUGUUACACCCCUAUAUGACUUCGACAAUCCGAUCUAUCAUGCCGAAGAAGAAGGCGAAGAAGAUUGUGAACUGCCGGAGGAAUUAGCCAGAUUGUUGAAACAAGAGGAGAAGGUGAUUCAACCGCAUGAGGAGCAAGUUGAGAUUGUGAAUCUGGGUACCGAGGAGGUCAGGAAAGAAGUGAAAGUUGGGGCUGCUUUGGAGGUAAAUGUCAAGAGCAGAAUGGUAGCCUUGUUGAAAGAGUAUGUUGAUAUCUUCGCCUGGUCUUAUCAAGAUAUGCUAGGGCUGGAUACUGAUAUCGUUGUGCACAAGUUACCAUUGAGAGCAGACUGUCCUCCGGUGAAGCAGAAGUUGCGCAGAACUCGACCCGAGAUGGCCAUGAAAAUCAAAGAGGAAGUGCAAAAGCAGUUGGAUGUUGGUUUCCUAGCUGUCACCAAUUAUCCGCCUUGGGUCGCUAACAUUGUGCCAGUGCCGAAGAAAGAUGGGAAGGUGAGAAUGUGUGUGGACUACCGGGAUUUGAAUAGAGCUAGCCCGAAGGAUGAUUUCCCAUUACCUCACAUUGAUGUGUUGGUAGAUAAUACAGCUCAAUUCUUGGUGUUUUCCUUCAUGGAUGGCUUUUUUGGCUAUAAUCAAAUCAAAAUGUCGCCAGAUGAUAUGGAGAAAACAACGUUCAUCACGCCAUGGGGCACUUUUUGUUAUAAGGUGAUGCCAUUCGGUCUCAAGAACGCCGGUGCCACGUAUCAGAGAGCAGGACUGUUCAUGAAUGCCAUGAAUUGAUCAAGUGAGACAGAAGCAAGUUCCGCCCGCCCCAAACAGAAGAGGCAUGUAAAAUCGGCCAAGUUGUUUGACCGGUUGAGACAAUUCAGACUGAGGUUGAAUCCGAAUAAGUGCACUUUCGGAGUGCGGUCCGGUAAAUUGCUGGGGUUUAUUGUGAGUGAAAAGGGAAUCGAGGUUGAUCCUGCUAAAGUAAAAGCAAUACGGGAAAUGCCUGAACCGAGGAUAAAAAAAGAGGUUCGUGGUUUCUUAGGUAGAUUGAACUACAUUUCACGGUUCAUAUCUCACCUAACAGCCACAUGUGAACCCAUAUUCAAGUAAUUGAGAAAAGAUCAAACGGUCAGGUGGAAUAAUGAUUGCCAAGUGGCAUUUGAAAAGAUAAAAGAGUAUUUGCAGGAGCCUCCGAUUCUGAUGCCUCAUGUGGAGGGACGACCGUUAAUUCUGUACUUGACAGUCCUCGAGGGGUCUAUGGGGUGUGUACUGGGGCAGCAUGACGAGUCUGGUCGAAAAGAGCAUGCAAUUUACUACCUUAGCAAAAAGUUUACCGACUGCUGAACAAGAUAUCACUGCUCGAGAAACUGAUGUGCUUGGUAUGCGCUCGCCGGACUUAAAGACAUCUAUAGCGUUCUAACCACUUUGAUUAUUCCAAGAUGGAUCCGAUCAAGUAUAUAUUGGAAGCCAGCAUUGACCAGACGGUCGAGGUGCAAAUUAUUUGACGAAUAGAUAUCCAGUAACCCCAGGAAGGCGACAAGGGGCAGUGUAUUGUCUGAUAUCUCGCCUCAAGCAACCCAUUGAGGAAUAUCAACCGAUGAAGUUGAAGUCCCUGAUAGGACAUCAUAUUCUCAAUCGAAAGAUUGUUUGAGGAAAACCAAUCCCGAACGGAGGGGCCUGACCCUGAAUGCCGAAAUGGAUUCGGAUGUUGAUGGGCGUUAACGUGAAUGGUAGUGGAGUUGGGCGUUUUGGUUACCGCCGAAAGGAUCCCACAUCUUUGCGCCCGACUAACAUUUGAGUGCCACCAACAACGUGGCUAAUUACGAAAGCUUGCAUAUUGGGGUAUUGAAAGAGGCGAUUGAUUUGCGAUCAAAAAACCUUGUUAUCUAUGGAGAUGUCAGCUGUUGGUUGUGAAUCCAGGUUAACGGAAAAUGCGUAUACGCAUUCAAUCUCAUUUAAUUCCAUACCGGGAUUAUACCGAGGAGAUUGUUGACGCUUCUUCACCAAGGUGAAAUUGCAUCAUGUGCCGAGAGAGGAAAAUCCUUUGGCAGAUGCUUUGGCUACUCUGGCCGCCUUGAUUAAGGUGCAGUGGUGGAAUCAGUUCCCUAGUGUUGAGGUGGGACGUCUGGAUAGACCGACUUAUGUGUUUGCUGUCGACACAGCGCCUGAUGAUGAGAAGCCGUGGUAUUAUGAUAUCAAGCGCUAUCUAGAAACCCAAGAAUAUCCUGAGGGAGCAUCCAAGAAAGACCGAAAGACUCUGAGGAGGUUGGCCAUGGUGUUCUAUCUGAACAAGGAUGGGGUUUUGUACAAGUGGAAUUUCGAUUGGGUUUUGCUUAGAUGUGUUGAUGACAAAGAAGCAAGCCAAUUGAUGAAAGAGGUACACGAGGGGUCGUUUGGUACCCAUGCCAGUGGGAAUGCGAUGGUGAAAAAGUUGUUACGGGCUGGAUAUUAUUGGAUGACGAUGGAGGCCCAAUGUUUCAACUUCGUGCGGAAGUGUCAUAAAUGCCAAAUUUAUGCUGAUAAGGUGCACGUGCCUCCGAACCCGUUGAGUUUGAUGUCGUCCCCAUGGCCGUUUGCUAUGUGGGGCAUUGAUAUGAUUGGAAAGAUCGAGCCUACGGCUUCAAAUGGGCACAUGUUCAUAUUAGUGGCUAUCGAUUACUUCACCAAGUGGGUGGAAGCAGCUUCUUAUGAAAAUGUGACGAAGCAGGUCGUUGCCAGAUUCCUGAAGAGAGACAUCAUUUGCAGAUAUGGGGUGCCCGAGAGAAUCAUUACUGAUAAUGGUUCUAAUCUGAACAAUAAGAUGAUGGCAGAAUUGUGUCGGGAAUUCAAGAUCGAGCAUCACAAUUCUUCUCCUUAUCGUCCGAAGAUGAAUGGGGCAGUCGAGGCAGCUAACAAGAAUAUUAAGAAGAUUGUGCAAAAGAUGGUCGUGACCGAUAAGGAUUGGCACGAGAUGUUGCCGUUUGCAUUGCAUGGGUAUCGAACCUCGGUGCGUACAUCUACUGGGGCAACGCCAUUCUCUCUUGUGUAUGGAAUGGAAGUCGUACUACCGGUUGAGGUUCAAAUUCCGUCUUUGAGAGACCUGAUGGACGUGAAAUUGCAAGAGGCUGAAUGGGUAAGGACUCGGUACGAAGAGUUGAGCCUGAUUGAGGAAAAGAGGCUGGCAGCCAUUUGUCAUGGGCAGUUGUACCAACAGCGGAUGAAGCGUGCUUUUGACCGAAAGGUACGACCCCGUCUGUAUCAUGUGGGAGAUAUGGUGCUGAAAAGGAUCCUUCCUCCUCAGAACGAUCGUCGGGGCAAGUGGACACCCAAUUAUGAAGGUCCAUUCGUGGUCAAGAAGGUUUUCUCUGGCGGAGCCUUGUUGUUGACGACCAUGGGUGGCGAGGAUUUUCCAUCCCCUAUGAAUGCGGACACAGUUAAAAAAUACUUCGUAUAAGAGACCCGCUGGACGAAAAGAAUAAAAUAGUCCAGGCAAAAAUGGGCAUUCCGACGAACCAAAAAAAAUGAAAAAAGGUUCGGGCAAAAAUUAGGGAUAAAAAGAAAAAACUGUACACCGGCAAGUCGAAAACCCCACAAGGGCGGCUUGGGCAAAAAAGGGUAUCCCGGUGGACUGAAAACCCGAAAGGGCGGUCCAGGCAAAAGAGGGAUCAAAACGAACAACUGCGUCUAGCAUGAUCGUUGGUACUUUGGUUAAGACACGUGGAUAAUCCCCGGCAGGGAUCGAUCGGAAGCGUCUUGUUCAGAAGGCAAAAAGUGCGGAGAGUCUUGAGGACAUAUGGGGUGUAACCGAGUUGGAACUCGAUGAGAUCAUGGUUUCACAUUGCCAUUAGGAUAGAUUUUUCCUCUUGUGCGCAAUUACCUCUUUUCAGGAAUUGCUUCCUGUGUAUUGCUCAGUUUCGAGCCGCACUUUUUUUUUUCAAUCAAUAAAAUGCAUAUUCAGUCAAAUAAUUUUGUUUUUGUUUUCAUUACCGCUUUGAUUGCAAAAACAUCUGUUUAUUUUGAUAAAGAAUCUUUGCAUUUUGAGACAUGGAGGUCCCUUCCAAUGCAUGUUUAUAAGAUUGAAAACUUGAAAUCUUAUUCGGAAGGUGGAGUGACCCAAGUGUUGAAAUUUUGGCACGUUAUUUUGAUAAAGAAUCUUUGCAUUUUGAGACAUGGAGGUCCCUUCCAAUGCAUGUUUAUAAGAUUGAAAACUUGAAAUCUUAUUCGGAAGGUGGAGUGACCCAAGUGUUGAAAUUUUGGCACGCCUGGGGCACAUUUUUAUCUAACGAUCUCUUUUGCAGGUGUUGUUAGAUAUUCUCACUCACUUGCAGGUUGUGAUGUGAAGCUUUUUGACAAAGGAUCCCCAGUGGAGUCCAAUCAGGGGCAAAGGAUUGAAGAACGGUGUGAAGACAGCGAGAAACGUGCGACGAUCCUUGAAGAUUAAUCAAGAAGACUCUUCAAAGUCUGAAGAAUUGGAAAGUUUGUACGAAUCCAAGGAGUUCGAUCUCCGUAGAGUACGGAGAAGUCGAGAAUACAAGGUGAUGAAUCAGAAAAGUCCAGACGAGUCUAGGAGCUCUCGAAAGUGGAAAGCUGGCAUUGGAGUUAGAUGGUGAAUACCAGGGUUUGGCAAGUCGACAGGUGUUCCGUGCCAGAUAUUCCUUAUUUCCCCUAGCAGGGUCGGGUUUGUUAUCUCCCCAGCGGGUUCGAGAUCGGUGUUUCCUCGGUAGUCAGGCUUGAAGAGUGCGUUGGUGGAUUCUUCCCCAGCAAGUCGAAGAUUGUUGUUUUCCCCGCAGAGUGCGUUGGUAGCUGUUUCCAACGAAGUCCCCAAGCGGAUCGAGGUUCAGCGGAGGUCAUCCCUGGUGAGGGUGGUCCUUUCCCCAGUAGCAGUGCUAUUCCCCAGCAGGAUGGAGAUCGGAGAAAUGUCGAGUUCCUCAGCAGAGUGCCUCGAGCUCCCCAGUGGAGUCCCCUAAGGGUGAUAUCUUUUAUGCAUUCAUCAUUUAGGAAAGCAUAACAUAUUGCAUAAUUCAUUGCGUAGCAUUUCCAUGGUUAUGGAAUAUUACGCUGUAAAAAAAAUCAUCAUGCAUCAGCAUUGCAAGCAUAAGCUAGUCUCAAGCCGUGGUUACCGUUUGAGAUUUGGUUUCGCUGGUUGGUGAAGAUGUUACUCAAGUCGUGGUUACCGUUUGAGAUUUGGUUUCGCCGGAUGGCGAAGAUGUUACUCUGAGGAGUUUAGCAUCAUGACGUUGGAGCAACAAUGUUCCCCAGUAGUGCGAUAUUGGAGAAAAAAUUUCCGUCGAGCGGAGAUGGAAAUAAAGAUCAAAGAACGUUACGCGAUCAGCGCGAAAAUUGAAGAGAUGGAGAAAGGGAAGUGCUAGGAAUUUUUUGGAGAACGGGGUUCAACUAGAGAUUAGAGUUGAAGAUUGUAUCCGGGAUGAGGUCCUUAGGAUUGUCUUCUGAUCAUGUGUCACCUUAGACUCUGGAGAGGCCAAGAGAAGUCGUUAUGGGUGUCUUCUGAGGAAGAAAUGCACAUGUUACCUUCCUUUUGUGAAGGUGUACCCUCUGGUAUGUCGUUAUCAGAGUGGUGUUUUGGUGUUAUUUCCGGCGUUGCCAGCGGAAUUAUCACAAGAAAAUGGAGAACGAGGUUCAAAUGGAGAAAAGGAAAUGCUGGGCAUUUUCUGGAGAACGGGGUUCAAAUGGAGAAAGGGAGACACGGGGUGUUUUCUGGAGAGCGGGGUUCACAACGGCGAUCGCGAGUUAUCGUCAGGCGACUGGGGUUCAAAUGGAGAAUGGGGUUCAUUGUUUAGCAAACAAGAGUAAUAUAAAGUUUCGGGGUUCAAGAAAAGAAAAAAAAAAUCAGAAAGUUUUGGGGUUCAAGAAAAAGAAAAAAAAAUAAUAAUAAUCCCCAGCGGAUGCGGCAUUCAGGCCAUGGUUAUUCCUGUGUUACCAUUUAUUUUGGUAUCCAGGUCAACAUUCUUUUCGGUAUUCAGGCCGACU
rnacentral:lncRNA from 1 species